rnacentral:lncRNA from 1 species
AACACCAGAAACAAAAAGGAAAAGAAGGUUAAAGAGGGAGAGAGACAAAAGAUCGAGAAGAAAAUUAAAGUUCUUAAUUCUUGAUAACAAACCAAAUUACAUGAUAGGUGUAAGUGAUGCAUGCCCAGCAGCUUUACAAACAAACAAGAACAACUUAAUUAAACAGACUGGCUACCUCGUAUGCAUCUCUUACAUCCCAUGUUUUACAACAUUAAGCAUGCAAAAAAGAGAAAAAUAAAAGGAGAACUAAUCGAGAGCAAAGACUUACAUAUUCAAGCACAAACAGGCCAAAGUUAAGUAAGUAAUAAAAGAAAAAUUAAAGACCUAAGUUGUUAAGGUAAACUCGGACCGCUACCCUCAAUUCCCCGCAAUGCAAUAAUACACGCUCUCCCGACUCUGCCCGACACUUUUGUGGUAGCAGGCUAGAGAUUCAGGACAGCGCGCAAUUGCAAAGCCUGUUUUGUAUGUUGUUCUUUCGUCAUUUUUUAUUUAUAUUUACAACACAACCCUUCUCCUCCACGCUGCUGCCGCUGCCAACCGGCACCAUCUUCACGCACUUCACCCAUGUAGACGAAAUCCCACUGGUGGCAGCUGGCCAUCAUGGUGGAUUUUGCGUCGUAAUUGCCAACGAGGCGAAAUUUUAUGGGUAGAAAGAAAGGAGGACUAGAAAAAGAGGGUGAUGAGUAUAGAGCUGAGGGGACAUGAUAGGUCGUAUAUAAAGACGAGACUGUAAGCUUUUUGUUGAAAUAUGAGUGUCACAGUUUUUUUUUUUUUUUUUUUGAUAAAAUUUAAUUUUCGAAAAGUGAGGUUGAAACUCUUGGUCCAAGCUGGUUAAGGCAUGUUUGUGGGGAAUACAAAUAACUCCACUAACUCGGUUUCCAAGGCUCUUGGAAUUUUCAUAUUAUUCUCUCAUGGGAGAGAAAACAAAAGAGAAAUGUAAGGGAACUCUGUAUAGACUUUUGGAUACUGUUAAUAUUGUAAUCAUUAAAUUAAAAAUUUGAGGUAACAAAGAGUCGAGUUUCACUUUUAAAAGAAUCAUCUUAACAUUUCCGAAAGAAAAAAAACAUUAGAAAUGGAUGGGGUUGAUUUUUCAGUGUGUGUAAACGUGGCUUGUUUUGCUGCAUACAAAAGUUGGAAAUAGAAUCUUAUUCGGAUUGUUUUUGUGAGAAUUCAGAUGAUCAAUCAUUUAUGUCUGUUCAUUAUCUAUUGUGCGGUAAAAAAAUUUUAUUUAAAAUUGAAUAAAAACAAUACUAAUAAAACUAAUCGCACGAUAUAUAAUAACCGUACAUAAUGAAUUAAUCUUUUAGAUCCUCACAAACAUAAUUCAGAUAAAAUCCUCAUCCCAAAAGUUGCAAAUUUUCCACAGAGAUCAAGACAAGAAAACAAAUAAUAAUAAUAAUGGCCAACUUUAUGGAUUUAUUACCUUAUUAUUGUUUAGAUAGGGUUAGGGUUUAGGGAGGAUGAGGUGAGUACGUGGUGGGUCAUUUGCAUGGAACCCUGUGCAUGCAUGGAACUUCGAAGCAGACAAAUGGGCCGGAUAAAUUUCAGCCGAAUGGAAAAAAGGCUGGAUGAUUGAGAGCAAUAAAACACUGUUAGUUUAAAACAUGUAUUUAACGUUAAUUAUAUAAGAAAGCUAACGAAAAGUUCUUAAAAAUUUUAGUUUUUAAUCAAAAUUAUACAGUAAAAGUGUAGAUGAAUAGUAUCAGAAGUGACUUUUCAAGGUAAAAAUAUCCUUAACGUUAAAAGUGAACAAUAUUGAAAAUGUUUCAUUAAGAUUUCCUAAUUAUAUUCAUCAAGAUUAAUGAAGCUAAUUAAGAAUGAAAUAAUAAUAAACAGGAGGGAAGGAAAAGAAAGGGUUCCCAACUUAAGCAACGUUAAGAUGAUCCUUUCUGCAGAGUUAGCAUGCAUAUUCCUACCCCCAUCAUCAAACCGUAUCACAUGAAGAUAAUAUAUAUAUAUAUAUAUAUAUAUAUAUAUAUAUAUAUAUAUCGUUUUGCCCAUGCACGUUUGAUGCUUCAAACUUUAUAGCUAAAUCAUUAUAUUUUCAAUUUCAGUGGGUUUAAUGAUAUAUACCUUUUCUAAUCAAAUGUCCUAGGUUUUCCUCUUUUCACACUGUUUUAGCAAGGAAGGAGGUAUAAAUGUCUUUUCACACUAUGCAUUUUUCACACUCCUCACAAGUAAUGGUAAUACUCAUCAUUCUACUUAUUAUUAUUGGAGAGUUUAAAUUUUAAGAUUUGUAUUUAUUCACUACACAUAUCUCACAAAUCUUGAAAAAUUAAACUUGUCCAACGUUAAUAAAUACAAUGGUAAACUCAAGGGUGGUGAGCAAAUAAAUAUCCAUAAAAAUAUCAAUGGUUUAUGGGGGUGCAACUUGGAUUGGGUCAACUCGAAUCCAUCAUGCCUAACUCGAUUUCAAAUUCGACUGGAGGGUUAAAAUAUAAAUUAAAUAAAUAAACUCGCCCAAACCCAAUUAUUAUUGGGUUGGGAUGAUGCAUUGUCUGCCCAUGUCAACCCAAACCGAUUUUAGCCCCAAUUCGCUCAUGCACAUAUUACCCAUCCCACUUCAUUAUGUAUAAGUUCUGGAAUGACUAUAUACUUGAAGUUUAUUGUCGGUUUUCAUAUGGAUAAUGAAUUAUAGUGUUACUUUUUUUUUUCUUUUGGUUGAAGCUUUGUAUACAUCAUGUAGUUUAAUUUCAACUUUGCAUAGUUGAAAUAUAGUCUCCAAGUUGUUUGCUUAACUUUUGUGUAGAUGAUGAUGUGUACAUGGAACUUUAAUUGAUUAAUAUUGAUGUUGUUUGGUUUGAAAUUUGAAAAAUCAUGCUUAUAAGAUUGAACAUGACAAAAUUGGUCGAACCCAAACCCAAACCUAACCCAAAUAAGUCCAAACUCAACUCAAAUUGGAAUUGUGAAGAUUGGAUUAAAAUUGUGUUGACGAUCGAUCCAACCUGCCAAUCCGCGGAGUUGCCCACCUAAUGGUUUGAACAAAUGGUUGCAUUAUUAGAUUAGUUGAUUACCUUAAUGCAGACGGAAGCAAACAUUUGAGUUUGGCUUAUACAAUGGGGCUAAGUUAAGUAAACCAACAGACAAAGAAAAUGGAUACAUCUAUAUGACAUGAUAAGGCAGAAGUCUAUAAAGACGAAGCAUUAGUCAGCGCUCAGAUUCUCUUUCUUCCAAAAAAGUUUUAAUUAUGACGGAAACACGUGUGGUACAUUACAUGUUUUUAUAUUAGAAUUUUUAUUUUUUAAGUUAUUAAUUUUUUAACACAUAAAUCUCACUAUUUAUAAAAUGACAUAUAAUGUACCACUUCAUGUGAUAAUCACACUGAAAAGUCUCUCAUUUAUUUCUCUUUGCCUAUUAUUUCCUCUAUUAAUUGUAUAAAACAAUUAUUUCGCAUUUUGAAUUGUCAAAGAACAGAUGGAUAAGUUGGUGGAAGGUGAUCUUGAUCAAACGGCUUGUGUUUUGACAACAAUUAUGUGUGGUAAUUGUCGUGAAAGUUGACAAUUUGAUACAUCAUGGAGCAAGUAGAUGGGACCCAUUACGCAUUAAGGUUUGGGGGCCCCAGCUUCUACUCGUAGAAUUUGUGGACUAGCAUUUUUCAUGCUGUGCCUCACUGAGUGGCCUCCUACAGUCCUACUACAUCUGGGCCGUCAAAAUACAUUUAAAAGUUGAUCAUAGUCGUUAAUUAAAUUAUUAAACAACACCAUGUUUUAACUUUUACGUCUUGAUUACGUCAUUUUUACAUCAAUUGAACACUGAUAACUUUUAAAUUUGGGGAACUAUAACGAAAAGCUCAUAGUAUUAUUCAUUUUAACGAAAAAUCACAUUUUACCAUAUUUUUGUACUAUUCAAUUUACUUUUUAUUUUGUCCUUACCGUUAAAACUCAAGGUUUUCAAGUCAUUUUCAUUAAUUUUUCUUUAAAUUUUUUAUUGUGAAUGUAAUUAUGGUAUUUACUCACGCCGAUCAAUUUUCUAAGAGUGUAACUUAUAGAUAAUAUGGAGAACCUAACUGUAUUAGGAGAAAAGAGAGGUGAUCAAGAAUUUAGUUAAUUUUCUGCAUCUAAACACUGCACAUAUAUUCAAUACACUACAUGAAAUUCAAGUUUAAGAUUUCAGAUUUAAGUUGCAAGGCAAAUGAAUAAUGUGAAUAUGAUUAUAAGAGAAAUGCUAGUAGUACUAUCUCAAAAGUGAGAUUUGUCAUUGAAUUUUUGUCAUAUUUCUAACAUAACGUUUUAUAAUGUUGGUACGAGAUUUAAAGUUAAAUUUUACAAAGAGUUCAUAAAGAGUCACCUUUUUGAGAGAAUCUCUUAGCAUUCCUCCAUCUAUAUUCAAGGAAGUAAAAUGCUAAGAAGACUCUCUUAAGUAAAGCUGGAUUCUUCAUGGAGUCUCUGACAUCUCAUCUUUUUGGCACAAUAUUUUAUAUUGUUAGCACGUGAAUUGUGUGUCAAAUAUAUGGAGUAGAGAAAAAUCGUAAUUUUGAGAGAGUAUUCUUAACAGAAAACUAAAUAACAAAUUAAGAUUAUCCAUCAACAUCCCGAGUCCCAACCCCAAUUUCAGGAUUCAACAUCAUUCCAACCAGAAAAGGGAGGAGAGAAAGCAAGUAACAUCCAGAAGGAGUUAAUAAAAAAGAAAAUAAAAUUACAAUCAUUGGAUACUCAAGAUAUAUCUAGUUGCCGUCGUCCUCGUGAGGAAAAACCAAUAAAGCGCCAUGUGUCCCUUCACUGUCCAGGGAUUGGUGGACAGGAAGCGGCGCGUGAGGCCUCGAUUAGUCCAUUUCAUCUAGCACGGCGUGGGUUUCCACUCCCCAACCCCCGAUUUACCCGUUUCCGGUCAAAUACGGCGCCAUAUUGGACCAGAAAGCAGCGUCCAACCGAGCCAACACGCACGCUUCCGCAUUGGAUCCCUCGUAGGCUCAUAUAGAUCAUAGGCAUGUAAAAGCCGAAAUAAACAAAGAAAAAGAGUUACUUUUCUUCUAUUUUUUUAACUGUGGUUAAUGGAGGCCACGUAACACUGCCCACCAAAAACUCAACGGUGAUAAUGCAUGUGUCUCUUUGUACUAAUUUGUGCGUUAAAUACUGUGACACAUUUUAUAAUUAUUUUUUUGUUAAAGAAUUAUUAUUGACACUUCAAAAUUCUUAUUCUACACUUCAAACUUUUAUAUAUUUAGAAAGAAAAAUACACUUAUGAAAAGUGUAAAAUGAGAUUUUUAUAGUGCCAACAAUACUUCCCUUUUAUUAUAUUAAUUCAGAGAGUUUUAACGAAAUACUUCAUGAUACUAUUCACUUUUAAUGAAAUCCCACAUUUUCACAUUUAUCUGGUACUAUUCACUACAUAUUUAUUUGUCAUUUUUCAUUCAAACUAAAGUUUUUUUGAACGUUUUGUUAGUUUUCCUUUUAAUUUAAGGAAUUAUUAUUAGCACUCCAAACUUUCUAUGAAUUUAUUAUCUUGGAUUCUGGAUUUGGAUCCUCUAUGAGGCAACUAGUAGGGAUCCUUCUUACCAGUGUUUGUGGACCGUUGAAUUUUUAUCCAAAGGAUACAAACAGAAAUGUCCUUUAAAAAUUAUAAUAAUUAUAACCGCUGGAUAAAAAUUCAACAAUUCACGAACACUGAUCAGAAGAAACAUGAUCAGUUGCCUCAGAAAUGAUCAAAAUCCUUGGAUUCUUAGGCUUUGAAGAAUGAUUUGCUAGAUUAUAAAUCCCAUCUUAAAAAUAUAUUUACUUUACUUGGCCUUCCCCUUUCAUUUGUGGGGCCCUAUAUUUAUUCGUUUGUCUUGUCUUGGAUUGCAUUGUCACCUUUGAUAUGAUGUAUCAUUGUACACUAUGCCAACAUGAUUCGGGUAAUAAUAAAAUUGAUUAAAUCUUUUUAUUUUUAAUCUUAAUUUAAUUGUAUUAUAACACUUAAUGUAUCAUAAUUAGUGUGAUUUAACUUUGAAAUAAAAAAAGAAUUGGAUACUAACGGGAGCAAUUUGUGUGGAAUUAGUUCACCGCCAUCACGUGGUUUCAUCCUGAACGUGACGUGACACAAACCCCAUUUCUUAUAUGUCAUACUCAGGGUUAAUUGGCACCGCUCAAAGCCCUUGGUCUUUGGAUCCGUAUAAACUCAUCUAGCAACCAGUAAUUAGUUUUUCUUCGGAAAAUAAGAAAUGAUUUCAGAAAACCUUAAAACAACAAAUAAUAAAAUUAGAGAGUAAAAAAAACUAAUAAAAAGGAUUUGAAAACUUUGAGUUUUAACAAAAAUAACAUAAAGGUGUUAUAAAUGAAUAGUACCAUAAUUGAACAUUUUAGAGUAAAAAUGUGAUUUUUGUGAACACUACCGAGAGCUUUUCGUUAAAGCUCUUAAAAAAAAAGAAUUAAUGAAAAUAGCUUGAAAACUUUGAGUUUUAACGAAAAUGACAAAAUAAAGGGUAAAGUGAAUAGUACAAUGAUCGAAUUUUUAUUUUAAAAAUAUGAUUUUCUGUUAAAAUUAACAAUACUGUGAACUUUUUGUUAAAAUUAAAAAAAAAAGAUAUGAAACAAGUAAUUAUGAAAAGAAUAUAUGUAAAGCUAGAAAAGUUCAAGAGGAACGUUUAAAUAUGAGAACUAGCUCAUAGUCACCUAUAGGCUAUAGCAUUUCAGCACGCAAGUUGUUGAUGGAACAAGUAGGAAAAGAUACAAAAAGAGGGAAAAUGAUUGUCGUCGGGUUCUUUUUUAGGAUGUGAUGUUGAUCAUUCAUUUCAAAAUUUAAAAUUUAAAAUUAAAUAUAAAUAAUAUUUAAUAAAAACUGAUAGUACCAUUUAUCAUCACGUAAUUCCUCGGAUCACCAGGAAAAUGAUCCAGCAACGAUCAUUUCCGCAAAAAUAUAUCAAAACACAGGAAAUCACCAGCUUUCGUGAUUUCAGAGAGACGAGAAAACCCUACUAUAUCAGAAAUCUAAAAUAUUAAGGUAUUCCUCUUUUUUCUAACCCACCGAAGCCGAUAACUUCCUGUCAUUUCAUUUUUCCCCCCUUACUGCUUGCUCUAUACAGCAGAGGUCGCACUUGGUGCGAUGACAAGUGCCUUCGCCCAUGAGCGGUAGGUCUCGGGUUCGAGACUUGGGAGCAGCCUCUCCAUAAAUGGGGGUAAGGCUAGCCGACAUUCACCUCUCCCAGACCCUGCGUAAAGCGGGAGCCUUGUGCACUGGGUACGACUGCUUGCUCUAUACUACUUCCCCUCACAGUACCGGCCUAAUUAUUGAUAGAACAAACUAAGCAGGAAGAGUUAAGGAAAGUGACGAGGGGGGCAUGAAAUCAUUGUUCUUUUGAUGGUUUUCGGAAGAGAAGAAUAACCCAUUAUAUCGUAAAUAGUAAGUUUUCUCUUCUUCUUAACCCGCACAAGCCAUUUCUGUCUUUCCCUUUACUCCUUUCUCUCUAUUUUACUGCCCACUUUUUUUUUUCUAAGCAUGAAAAGUUAGUGAAAGAGACGAAAACGCAAGAAGUCAUUGGCCUCAGUGUCAGUGGUUACGGAAAGGAGGAGCAAAUGAGGAUAGACAUGGAGUAAUUUGGUUUAGUGAAUUGAGAAGAAAAAACAAAGGAAAAUUAAUGAAAAUGAUUUGAAAACUUUAAGUUUUAACAAUAAGAAUAUAAAAAAAAGGUAAAGUAAAUGGUACCAUUAAUGAUUUUUUAAUGUAAAACUAUGAUGUUUUGUUAAAAUAAACAGUACCGAAAGACUAUAUUUUCGGUGAAAGAGGGGCAUAUACGGUGGAAGAGAGAGACAUAGGAGUACAAGGGGUUGGUGAGAUUUUUAGUCCCUGAAUUCAAAAGCAAUGAAGGUCGCAUUUACUGUAUUUGAAUACAUGCAGACCUGCAUGCAGCUGGCGGAAUUGGAUCCUCGCCGGAUUUAAUUGCUGGGGAUCCUAGGGAUCAAUUCACGUGGACCGUUGAUAAAAAAUCGUGUCGUCACAAUUAAAUAUUUUAAAAGUAAAACAGUUUCGUUUUGCGUGAAAAAUAUAAAAAAGAAAAAAAUUGUGACCGCACGAUUUUUAAUCAACGGCCCACAUGGAUUGAUCCCUAGGAUCCCCAUGAAUUAGAUCCGGCGAGGAUCCAAUUCCGCAGCUGGCCCCUCUGCCCGGGAAGAUUGUGGGAAGAUUGGGGUCUUGACUUUUCUCUCUUAACUAAUUUACCUUAGCUUGGGCUUUCUGUUUUAAAAAUAACAAAACGUAGGCCCAUAUACUGUUGGUAUUUGGGAGAUGUAGACUAGAUUCAGAAACUUUAACGAAAAACUACUGAUACUGUUUAUUUUAACAAAAAAUCAUAUUUUUACAUUAAAAAAUCAAUCAUGAUACUAAUCAUUUUACCCUUUAUUUUUUUCUUAUCGUUCAAACUCAAAGUUUUCAAAUCAUUUUCAUUAAUUUUCCUCUAUAUUUCUCUAUUUUUUAUGGAAAUAAAAUCAUUUAGUACUAUAUAACUUAUUUUCCAGGUAUGAUUUUUAUGGUCAAAUGGUUUUGGCCAUUUGUUAUCGAAUGCUUUUGACAUAAGGCUAUCGAUCCCCCUUCUUCUUUUGGUUCCCACCCUUAGGACUUGGUUUUAUAUGACGUUUUGUUUAUGUUCUACUUGAUAUGAUUCGAAAAUGUUUCUCGUUUAGAAAAGUAAAUGGGUAAAACACAACACAAUACGGUGCCACAUGUUGUCAAAUUUAUAACUAGGCACGAUAAGUUAACAUGUUCGUUUGACUUUGAAGCGUAUCUCACCUAACAUGAAUAUGACUAGUGAUAUUGUUAGCUAUGAAGAUUUUAUGAAAUCUACUUCUGCUAAAGCCCAUAAUCUCAUGCAACAAGAUAUUUUUUAGUGUAUCUAUAAAAUGAUGCGAAAAUGUAAAAAAUCAUAAUAUAAUUGGUUAACAUUUUUUCUUUCAAGUUUCUAAUUAAUUGUAUUACUACUCCAUGCAACCUCACGAAAUAACAAUAACUAAGGAAAGACAAUGGUUUUGCGGUGUGAUGGAGGAUGUUUUUGGGUCAAUUUCACUCACAAAUAAGUAGUUUUAUUUAUUAAAAAAAAAGGCGGACACAAGCCAAACUCUCCACUUACCAUUACAAAAGUUAACUUAUUUAAAAGAGUAAAUUAUAGCAAUAGUUCCUCAAUUUUAAUCAAAUUGGACCAAUAGUCUCUCGACUAAAAAUUCAUUACCAUUGAUCCCUCAACUCAUCAAAAUGUGUAGCUAUUGUCAUUUUCGUUAACUUUGUCAGAAUAAAUUAUUUUGGAAUGACUAUUGCUACAAUUGGGAUCCCUCAACUCAUCAAAACGUGUAGCUAUGAUCAUUUUCGUCAACUUAGUCAGAAUUUUAUCAAAAUGAGUUAUGUUGGAAUGACCAUUGCUACAAUUGAGUUAAAGUUGAGGGAUCAUUGCUCUAAAUGAAUUAAAGUUAAAGGAUCAUUACUACAAUUUACUCUAUUUAAAAUGGUAACGUAGAAGCUUUACAUCGUCAAGAUAAUAUUAAACAAUAUGAAAUCAGAAAAACAAUCUCACCAAAUAAGACUUUUUUUUUUUCAACAAUCAAACAAGAAUAUUAGAACAGGAAUCAUAACUGACUGAAAAUGCAUUUGGGACUUGACUUGCAAGGUUGUCAUGUUACUGCACAUUUCAUUUUUUUGGUACGCCAAAAAUACUGUUCAGUAUAUUAAAAUGUCAUAACAUAAGUAAUUGAAAGGGAUAUUUUGGAUGUAGUCCUUAAUCCUUAACAUUCUUUGACUAAAACCUUAAUGCUAUGCAAAGUUUGAUCAAAGUCUAUUGACUUUGUACACCUCAUUAUAUUACAAUUAAUACUUAUAUUUUUAUAGUUUUGACAUUAAUUGUUUGAUAUUUUAUGAGAUUUAUAUUCCUAUAAAUUUAAAAUUCCUCAUUAUAAUACCAUUAGAAACGGUUACAAUAAAAAAAUUCAAACAUUUUGAUUGAAUAAAUGGAUAAAAACUGUUGAUACAUAAGACCGGAGGUAUUGGAACAACGUAAAUCCGACCGUGAAUCUGCAGGAAAUGUAAAUAACAUAAGAUGUAUCGUGGUUCACCCCAAGGUUUGGGCUACGUCCACACUGAUAUUGUAUUUCUGAGGGAAAGAGAGCUCUGAGAGUGAGAGCUUUGAGAGGGAGGAGAGGGCCUAGUAAUUGGCCUCCUCUAAUUGUGAGGGUGAGAAGUCCUUUUAUAGAAUAAGGGUUCCUCACUUAUUACAUAUUUGCCCUUUCUUUUAUUACAUAAUUACAUUUAAGUCCCUUGAAUAUUUAUACGAUGUCUAAAUACAGAAACCCUAAGUAUGGUAUAAACAAAAACUAUGAAAAAAAUGAGAAAUAAUAAAUGGCAAAAGAAUGUAUCCAUAGUGUUAAAAAAAUUGGUACAUUUCACAUAUAACAAAGUGGUACAUUAAUAAAGAAGAAUUGGUACAUUAUAAAUAAAUUAAGAUACAGAUAAAAGAUUAAAAAAUUAUGAGUACAAAUGAAUUUUUAAAAAUAUAGGCACUAAAAGAAAUUAAUAAAUGGGUACAAAAUAAAAUUGAAAAGAAAAUACUACAAAUUUAAAAAAAUGUUGCAAAUUAAAAGUGGGUACAAACUAAAAAUAUAAAUAUAUGAUACAAAGUUUAGGCAUAAAACAUAAAUAUACCAUAUAUAAUUUUACUAUCAUUGAUUAAAUAUACAAUGUCACGUGACGGUAUACAUAUGGGUACAAACACAAAUCAAACUUUAAAAAAUAUGGGCACAAAAAAAACUAAUAUAUGGGUACAAACUAAAAAUAAAAAUAUAUGAUAAAAGAUUUAGCCAUAAAUAUAAAUAUACUAAUUGUAGCAUUUUUAACACUAAAGGAAUAUAUUUAAAAAUAAAAAAUAUUUUAUUAUUCAAAUAAUUAACGAUGUUAUUAAUAUCUAAGAACGUUUAUCAAAAAUAAAAAUAAAAAAAGGAUUUUUGUCAAUGAAUAAGUAAAAAAAAAGAUAUGUACCUAAUUUUUUCUAAUUGAAAAUUUAGAAAAUAUUGAACUACCUAAAUUACUGUAUCAAAUCACUUUUCACAUCAGUAUUUCACUUUCACUUGCCCAUUCUGAUUUCAAAAGGUACCAGACAAAUUCAUUGGAAUGGCCACAGACAGGCGUGCUUUGUACGCCACCACACUUUUUUUUUAAUAUUUCAUUUGCAUUUUUACCUUUCCAAGAUAUUUGAUUCGAAUUCUUGAAUUCUUUUGAUUCCCAGAACAAAACGUAAUACGAAAUGGAAUAGGAUCCUUUUUGUAGAGAUCAAAAAAAUCAAAUCGUGUUUGCACAUUUUCCGAUUAAAAAUUAUUUUAAAUUUUUAAUUUAAAAUUAAAUAUAAAUAAUGCUUAACAAAAAUUAAUCUCGAUACGUGCGUGAAAAAUAGACACAAUUGAUUAAUUCUUGAAUCUCCACAAUAACAAUUCGGAGAAGAUCCUUGUCCAUACGAAAUAUUCGGUUAUAAAAAAACAUAAAAAGUUCGAGUAUAAUAGAGAAAAUCGGAGUGUCUUCUACCUUAAGGAUUUAGACCCACUAAAGACUUUAGUGUCCAAACCCUAAGGUUUAAUUCAUCUUAACUACUGAACUAUUGAUUGAUGUGUAAAAAAAUCAAAACCGUUGAUUUUGAUCAGGAAAAUGAAUUAAUGAAGACCGUUAGAUUAAAUUUAUGCGAUCCAGUUGUAUUCGGUUCUCAUUAAAGUACGGAAUUAGAGUCUAGUAUCAAUACAUCUGAUUUUUAUGUUUAGGUAUCAACACAAAAAUCUGAACUGCUAAUCGGUGUAUUGAUAGCUAGACUCCGAACACUAAAGUCCGGUGCCGGAUCCAAUUCCGUACCUUUAUUAACUAAGAGCAUCCACCGUUACAUACAUAUUAAGACCUAGUUUGGGAGUGAGAUGCUUAAAAAAAAAAGCACCUAUGAAAAAAAGCUGUGAGGGUUUUAAGUGUUUGGUAAACUGAAAAAAAAUGGCUUAUUUUGGAAGCUGCUGUGAGAAUAAGCUGAAAUCAAAGGAAAAAGCUGAAGCUGCUAUUUGCAGCUUUGGAAAACUGGCUUUUUUUCAAAGCACAUGGAGCUACAGAGCUCCUUUAAUGAAAAGACCCACUAUCAGACUGCUUUUUUUUCCAAAAGCACUUUUACAAAAAAAUUUACUCUCUGCUGCUUUAUUUCACAGCCGCUUAUUCUCACAGCAGUUUUUUUUCAAAGCACAGCAAUACCAAACCAGCCCUAAGAGUAUUCGCCAGCAUCUGAAUCGUCAAAAAUUCUUGACUAUUAACGAGGACAGGUUCAUCUUUAAACUAUUUUUCCUCUCUAAUAUUUGUUUUGUUCAAAUCCCCUGUGCUUCAGUUUCUUUAGUUUAAUAUAUAUUAUUCUAAUCACAUCAUCUAGUGAUAUUCUUCUUUAUUUAUGGUAAGUGAGAUUUAGGCUCGAAACUCAUCAAAACCAAAUUUAAACUACUUUAAGGUACAUUAUUGCAUGUGAAUCAUGAGACUUAACUUACUAUCUACUUAAUUAACGUAGAUAUUAUCAUUUUGUUAAAAACAAAUAAAUAUAAUUAUCCUAUUAUUUGUAUAAAAAAACCAAAAGAGAAAUUGAUACUUUACGGGAGGAAAAUCUGGCGGCUGGUCCAGUUCCAACCAGAAGAAAAUGUCUUAAUUUAUUUGACCUUCAAGCAAAAUGGUCUUUGCUUCUUGCUUUAUCUGCACUAGACGGACUUACUAAUUAAUUACUCUAACCGGAACUAAGUCCUUGUGGAUUUAAACGACGCAUAAUAUGGGCUUAGAUUAAUUAAUACUAACAAACAUUCGCACAACAGUUUGAGUUGAGAUUAUGAAUCCUUACGUAGCGAACUUUCAAGUGUUUAAAAAGAGUUCAAAUGACUCCCCGUAUUGCCAAUCGGAUUCUAUAAUAGAACCUCAACUUUAUUCAUCGUAUCGGAUUCGGGAAGCUGCAAACGUCUUGUAGAUUUCUUGAAAAGAGAUUCAACACAAAUUUUUUUAGCAUAAGAUAAUUGGAGAACGUAACACAGAAAUAUAAUUAAGAAGCUGCAACGAGAUAAAAUUCUCACAAUUAAUAAAUAAAUUAGAAAAUGGUAAACAAGGCAUAAGAUCAGAAAAUGGGCAAAUUAAAGUAACGAUUAACCAAAAACAGAUCAAGCAAAAAUAGCAUUCUGCAAUAAAAACACAGAUUAAAAUAAUUAUGAUAAAAUUAUCAUACAUUCUUACAACUUUUUGAAACUCAUCUCUUUCGCGUUACUCGGUAAUUUUCUCUUUUCGCUCCUGCUUCCUCCCUCAACUGAAAAAAAACAAACAAACAAACGAUUUGCUAGUAUGUAUGUGAAAAUAUGCAAGAGGAGAAAGGGAAAGGGAGAAACUUUAGAAAAUUGAAGGAAUGGGAGGGAUAGGAAAGAAAUUUUAUCUCUUGAAUUUGGAACAUACAAGAGAAGUUUCUUCUUUCCUACCCUUCCAUUCCAACAACUUCCUUAAAACCUUCCAAUCCCACCCAUCUUUUCUAACUGGAAUUAUGUGGAUUUUGUUCACCUCCUCCUCUUUAUAUACGCAGGGAAUGGUUGUGAGGAAGAAAUGCGAAGCUUCCCUUUUUACCCUUUAUCAUGUUGCUACUGCCCACCAAACCCUAAUCUUUUAAAUAUAUAUUUUUUUUUUUACCCUUUAUCACGUUGCUAGUUGCUACCCACUAAACCCUAAUCUUUUUAAAAUUUUAUUUUUGACAGAUUAUAUUCUGUUGUAAAUAUUAUGUGGAUGGUCCACAUGAAUAGUUUGUUACUAUUUAUGCACAGUAUUUUCACUAUUCAUUUGUGGAAAAUUUGUAAAGUGAAUAGUGCUUUCUUUUGUUUAUAUAAAGGAAGAAGAUGAAUGAAGUGAGUGAAGUUCACGGGAAAGAAAGAGAGGAAGGAAGGAAGAGGAAGAGAGAGAAUAGAGGAAGAUGAGAGGAGAUAAUAGAGAGAGUUAUCUUUGUACUCCUAUUAUUUCAGAUUAUAAUGAAAGCACCACUGCUGCCCCGAGGACGUACUCCAGUCACACUGACUGUAGAGGAACCUCGUAAAUUUUGUGUCUUGUUUCAUUUAUUCCACUGCACCCACCAUCGAUUUUACAACACGUUAUCAGCACGAGAAGCUCUCAUGUCAGUGGAAAGCACAACGCCACAAAUCCUGUUCACCUUCUCCAGCUGGAAUCUCAUAGAUAAGAAAAAAAUUUCAUUUCAUCUUCAAAUCUCAGUACAAUUGAUUUUCUUGAAGCAACUAUAUAUAUAUUGUUAUAUGACUGUAUAUCAUCCUUUGCAGAAGCAAAAGAGUAAAAGACUCAAAAUUUGUAAGAGAAUUUGACAGCCAUGUAAAUAGCCUCGGAACUCCAACUUGCGGACCUCGGAUUGAAAUACUUUCUUCUUGAAAGUUGUUCGUCUGCUCAGUAUCUACAACAUAUCAAAAUUUCAGAAACUGUUAACGGUGCGAUCGUCGCAGAUGUCUGAAAUACCAAACCCGUUUCCAAUUUCCGCAGAAAACUGGGCAGCCACCUUAUGAGUACCAAAAACUCCAUUUCGGUAGUUCAAAUCGAAAUUGUUUCUUCACGAAAGUUGUUUGGUAUCCUCUUAUCCAUAUCAUACUAAAUUUUGAAACUAAAUCUAACGGUUUGAUCUUCUCAUAAGUUGCAGACACUCUUGACUCCAAAACUUAUGGGAAUCGUUUCGACUUUUUCGAAACUCACCGGAAGAGGAACACCAAUUGGAACUUAUUGUUACUAUUAUUUACUGAGUAACCAAAAUGACUUCGAACUGUGAAAUAAUAAUAAAAAUAAAAGGGAUGAAACAAAAGAAGUGGCAGACCAAGAAAAUGAAAAAGCAAAACAUGAGGACUUAAUCAUUGCAUUUUCUGUUUUGGCAUAUUUAUGUGCAUGGUGUUGGUUUAAAGCCCAUGUCACAAGUUCUAUUUAUUUAAAGCAAUUUAUUUAUAGUGGGUAGAAUUAUUACCCUUUGCUUUAAAGCUUUGAUAUUUAUGUGAAUGGUGCUGAAUCAAAGCCCUUGUCACAUGCUUUAUUUACUUUAAAGCAAUUUAUUUACCAUGGACGGUUUUACCGCCUAUUGCUUUAAGUUUUUGAUGGUGCUGAAUUAAAGCCCUUGUCACAAGCUUUAUUUACUUAAAUGCAAUUUAUUCAUUAUGGCUGGAAUUACCGUCUAUUGCUUUAAUUUAUUUAUUGUACUUAUCUUUUGUUACUAUGAGUAUAUACAGGACCUGAAGUUCCUUGAUCAGAUCAGAACCUGCAGUUUCUUGAUCCUCAUCAUAUAAAAUGAUUGGACCCGAAGUUCCAUCAUACAAAAGGAUCUGGCAUGAAGUCCCUUGAUCCUGAAGAUCAGGACAUGAAGUUCCUAGAUGAGUACCGUAAGUUUGAAGUGCCGCAGUACCUUAACUUAAUUGUAAUAAAAGCCAUAAGAGUCUCAGUUUACAGACUAUUAAAUAAGGACCAGAAGUUCCUUAUGUCCAUAAUCAAAAUGGUUUAGCAGAAGCCUUUAUUAAUCGAAUGAAAUUGAUUUCCCGCGCUCUGCUCAUGAAAACGAAAUUGCCAAUUUUCUACAUGGGGACAUGUAAACUUUACAUGAUGCAUUAUUAAUUCGGUUGAGACAUGUUAUCGACCAUCAAUACUUCUCAGUACAACUCGGGUUUGGAACCAACCAAACAUUAUACAUUUACGAGUUUUUGGUUGUGUUGUCUAUGUGCCUGUAAAGACUGCCACAACGUACUGAAAUGAGGCAUCAUUGCAGAUUAGGCAUUGAUGUUGAACACCAUCUAUCAUUCAAUAUUUGGAAUUCUUGAUUGGGGAUAUGUUUACCGCAUGGUUUGCGGACUGUCAUUUUGAUAAGACAAUUUUCCUGCCAUUAGGGGGAGAAAAUAAUAUCGUUCCAGAAGAACGAUGAGAAAAUAUCAUUCCAAAAGAAUGAUGAGAAAAGACCGUUCCAGAAGAACGAAGAGAAUUUGUCUUAUUUUGAUUCACGAAGCAAUCAAUGAGAAAAUGAAAUAUGGAUAAUUGAAUGAUACAACGAAAGUGAUGAAAUCAUAUAUACUUACUGCAAAUGUGCCUACAAGAAUUGAUGUCUCUGUUGGAUAAAAUAAUGAGACAAUAAAUGAUUUAUCUGUUGCACGCCUGAAGCGUGGCAGAUUUUUAGACUCAAAAGGUUCAGUUAUUCGAAAGAAGAAUAAUAUGGCACUACUGAACUAUUGCAUUCCCGAAGCAUAACUGUUGCAUGCCAGAAGCAUGACAGUCGCCGCAUGGAUACACGUCCCAGAUAGGACAAUCCACAGACAUGGGAAUAUUGAUGUCUCAUGCAUGUAGCAUGAUAGAUGUAUAGGUUCCAAAGACUCAACUCCCGGAAGUGGAGAAAAUCCAAGCUCUAUAACGCUCAAGAGGAGGUUAUGAUUCACAUUCUCUCAAUUAUGACUAUCCUGGAAGAGAUAGCGUCAUGCCCUUGAAGAGGCAAAUGGAUAUCCAAAGAAAUGAAAAGCUUUUAUGCAUGCGCAUGCACAUGAGAAUAUGGGAUCACGGAUUGAUGAUAACCAAUGGUAAUUUUGGUUUUUACAAGUAGCUACUAAAUUCAUCAAUGAACUGUGUUAAUAUUGAGUCACGUUCUUUUUUGUUCGUCGACAAAAGAAAAAUUAUUGGCCAAAAUGGAGAAAGGCAAUUCCAUUACAAUUUUGUAAGAACGUGGGCAAAUGAACCUAUAUAUAUUUGAAUACAAUACAAAUAGCCAAAAGAUGUUGAACCAAGGAGGUUAUAUAUGGGCAUUUGUAAUACAGUGUAAUACACUUACAUGAUAUGACACAAGGUUGUAAACGAGUUCAUAUAAAUGGAGAAUUAUAUACGAAGGGUUGUGAGUCGCCCACAUCAUAUCUCCAUAAGUAAAUCCCUCAAGUAUACAUGGGAGCGAAUUGCUCUGUAUAAAUUCCAAAGGAAAAUGUAUCAUGAAGUGUAGAAAACUCUUGAAGGAUUCAAAUUGCUUGAAGUAAGCCUCUGAAGGGUAAAACAUAAAAUAUGUACUCAAUACCAAUGGAUUAUAUAAAUUGCCUUAGUGAGUACUAUCAUUAUGAUAUUGUUGCAAACAUACUAAAAUCUCUUGCAAGAGUCAAUGACAUUAAAUUAUAACUCUUGAAGAGUUGAUGAUAUUAAAUUGGGACUCCUGAAGAGUCUAGAAAAAUUAUAAAGUGUUGAAGGAAUUAUUGUCUCGAGCUGCAGAUCGAACAAUCUACCAACACGAAUCUUAUCCAUGAUAUUUAUGAUAUUAAAAGAACCAUAUGGAUUGAAGAUUAUGAGUUGAAUACUCAUAUGAUGAAGACACUAAGAAUAAUCAUUUAUCUUCGUGAGGGUAAAGAUAAAUUAAUAUUUGGUCCAGAAGUACCACAUCUUAGUGAAGUAUAUGCUUUAUUGUAUUUGGCACAAUACAUUGAAUGAAAUAAAGCUUAUUUAUUAAUAUCUCCAAGAAAUUACAGAUAUAUACAUACACAUGAGUUAAAACAAACAAACAGGAUGGAGCCUUCACAAAGGUUGCUCAUGUGAAGCCUCAGUACUCGGAAGUACCCCAGAAGGGGGAGGCACUGGAGAUUGAUCAUGUGGCACCCCAGUACUUAGCAAAACACCAGAAGGGGAAGACAUCAGUUGCUUUCGGAAUCUAGCAACGAACCUCUGGUGAUCACUUUGAAUCCGACUUUCGGAUUCCUGCAGUUGGACGAGCUUUCUUUUUUCAUGCUCGUAGAGUAACUAUUUGCAAGCACGUGUAACAUCCUAUUCUCGUGCUUGAGCCCUCUGAUCUCUUGUUUAAGACUUGCCACCUCCGCCAUCAAUGAUUCAACUUGGCGAGUUUGAGCAAGUAGGCGUUGGCCCAUAUUGGACACAAAGCCAGCACACUGAACACUGAGAGCCAAGGAGUCUUGAAUGGCCGACUCUUCAGACCGUUCUGAAAGGAUCUUGUUAUCCCUUGGAGUGAGAAGAUUCCUAACUACCACAGUAGCGGUUAUGUUAUUCUUCAUCAUAGAGUCCCCAACCGUAAGAGGACCAUUAGAAGAUAAGAAGGACGGGCGCCAUAUAUUAUCCUGACGCUGCUCGUCUGUAUCACUCCUAAGACUCAAAUCUAAGCAAAUGUUAGAUGGGCAAGUCAUUUUUCAGAAAUGAUGAAGGAAAAACAGAGGUCAAAUAAAAUUUCAGAAGUGCAAGAAGGUGGAAAUUUCUCAGGCAGCAAUUUUCUGAGCAUACCCUUGAACACAAUUGAUGUCUCUAUAAAAGAAGAGGCAGCAGAGCCACUUGUUCAAAGAUCGAAGAGGCACCGCUCUCCGAAUUUCAAAAGCCAGAUUUUCCUGAAUAAAGUUCGUUGGCAUUUUUCAGACGUAAUCCCAACUUUUUCAGAUGUCGCGUGCAAUUUUGUCAAAGAUCUCUGACAAAGUUGAAAAACGCGUAAAUCUUACUGUUCUAUUUACACCACAGUUGCUGACAAGAGUAAAAGCACAGCACCACCACUUGCUAUUGAGAAAUCUCUAUAUAUGUCGACCUCUGUUCUCCAUAACAAGGCAGACCCGCAACACUGCAAGAAUACCUAACUCUUCCUCAUCUCCGAGAAUGCAUCUUCAACAUAGCAUCUCGAAAUACUCAGUUUUCUUCCUCUCCGAGAAUACCUCUUCAAACAUGUCACACCAGAGCAAGAUUAUCACAUAUCUUCAGGGACCAGAGCAAGAUUAUCUCAUAUCAUGCAAUCUCCCUGUCCUUUCCUUUGUCCAUGUUCUUGCCUGCGAAGACAAGGAUAAAGAAAGCAAUAUGUCGAAACCUCCACUCAAACUCCCGGUAAGGAACCGACUGCCUGGAACCUUUCCUGAUUGCUUACCUAAUGUUGCUCUCGAGUAGUCAUCUUCAACGGUUGGAGCUGGGUCUCCAGUCACCAAGAAGUGAUGAACCAUCCAAAUGCAAGGGUUGCACUCCACUCCGGCAUUAGAGGGCAAAUACUGCCGGAGAAGAUGCCACACAUGCAUGGGGGAAAAGCAGGGAAAAUACUACUUAAGCAAGGGGAACAAGUAAGGAAAGUAAAAAUGAUACAUUGAAGCAUGUGGAGACAAGCGCAACAAACGCGUGCUGAUUCAUCCCUGACAAAACUGAAGAUCACUUGCCACAUGAAGCUCCUCAUGGUCCAAUUUCAUUCAAGAUUAAGCAUCGAAGGUCCUUGAAGAAAUCACAAGUCCGAUUCAAGAUCAAGUGUUCAUUACUCUUGAAUCAAAUUCCGCUCCAGAUAAAAGGAGUAAAUUCCGAUCUUCAAUGCUAGUCUAGCAGAAAGUCCUACAACCCAGUUCAAGAAAAAGGCUGUGGAAAGUUAACAAUAAGUAAAGCAACUCUUUUAGCAAUUCUUCUUACUAAGAGACUAAAGCAGAACAAUCAACGAUCAACCUAAAUGAUUUGAGAUCAGGGGGAGAUACUCAUCAGGGGGAGCAUCCAAGACAGAUCAAGAUUUUAACGAGUCAAUCGAAGACUUGUGGCCAUCCAAGGGGGAGUGUUGUAAAUAUUAUGUGGAUGGUCCACAUGAAUAGUUUGUUACUAUUUAUGCACAGUAUUUUCACUAUUCAUUUGUGGAAAAUUUGUAAAGUGAAUAGUGCUUUCUUUUGUUUAUAUAAAGGAAGAAGAUGAAUGAAGUGAGUGAAGUUCACGGGAAAGAAAGAGAGGAAGGAAGGAAGAGGAAGAGAGAGAAUAGAGGAAGAUGAGAGGAGAUAAUAGAGAGAGUUAUCUUUGUACUCCUAUUAUUUCAGAUUAUAAUGAAAGCACCACUGCUGCCCCGAGGACGUACUCCAGUCACACUGACUGUAGAGGAACCUCGUAAAUUUUGUGUCUUGUUUCAUUUAUUCCACUGCACCCACCAUCGAUUUUACAACAUAUUCCCAUUUCCCACACCUUUUUAUUUUUUAAUAUUCUACACGUCACUAACAAUGAUAAAAAUUAUUAAAAAUUUGAAAGUGUGAAAAAAAAAAAACUUAAAUGUGUGAAUAUGAUGUCUCUUAUUUUUUAAUGUGAAAAUUAACCUUUUCAAGUGUAUCUUUUCCAACUUGACAUAACAAAUGUAGAUGGCAUCGCAAUCCGUUUGUACAUUACGGUCUGAUUCGAUUUCCAACUUGAUUAGUAACAAAGUGCCAUAUAAAUUGUUAAAUUUAAAUUUCACGUUUAAAAUUUGGUAUCUUAUUUAGAGAUACUUUAACGUUAUUAUUUGUAAAAAUAAAUAAAUACAUAAACUAAUAAUAAAUGAUGAGUUUCUAGUUAUAUGUACUCAUUCUUAAGGUUCUAGUAGCAUUUUUUUUUUGACAAUUGAUAUUAUCUGUAUUAAGGGGUGAGAAAGUGGGCUAUGCUUCAUAAUAAGCUGACAAUAACAUGAUUCGAAUUCACCUAUGUCAAGAAUCGAACUUAAAACCACUUAUUUACCAGUGAGAGGAAUACCACUAUAUUGUAAUACCACACUAGCAUGUAUAUUAUAUGUAUUAUUUGCUUAAGUCCUAAAGGUAUCAAAUGCAUGCACAUUUUGAUCUCAUGAAUAUUGAAAAUACUCCAAAUAUAAUUCAAACAGAAUAAUUAUAUACUUUUAACACUUAAUAAGCUUUUAAUAUUUUAAAUACUCAUUAUUAUGUUACUAGUAACAUAUUAUAUGUUUUAAUUUGCUUAAGUUUUAAAAAGCAUUAAACGCACGCUCGUCCGAUUUCUUAGAUGUAACAUUUGGCAUGAAGCCAUAUAAGGAAUUCCCCCUUAGCUUCGGCAAUUUUCGAGUGUUCUAAGUGUUGUGAUCGGUGAGCAAGCUAGAGACUUUUUGAUAAACUAGAUUUUACAAACUAAACAUCGAUAAAUGCUUUAGAGACGGCAUCAACACGAACACGACACGGCACGGAUUAUGAAAGGUCCCACGCGUAGUAGAAUUUUGCUUAACAUUUAUCUUGUAAAUGACAAAUGGACCACACGGACACGGCAUGGGUUCACCUUUAAGAAGAUGGAGAGAAGGUGGAGGGACAUAAAAAGUAGUGGUUAGUAAUGAGCCACUUUUUGGAGCUCCUUGUCACAGCCACACCGAAAAAAAUUCAUUUUUAUUAUUCAGAGUUGGAGCGUUAGGAACAAUAAAUUUUCGUUCUCAAACAAUUCAUCUCUAAUAGUUCGUUUAAAUAUGCUUUUAAAAUGUUGAAAAGUUAAAAAAAAAGAAAAUUGGAUUUCAAAAGCACUUAAAGUGUGUUUUGCAAGAAGCAUCAGUUACGUACUUUUUUUCAUGAAGUACUUUAAGUGUUUUUUUAGGAUUUGCUUGCACCUUUAUCAAAUAUUGGUUUUAAAAAUAUUUUCACCAAAAGCACUUUCAGUUAUAUUAAAAGUACAUCCUAACGAGCUCAAAACGUUAAGAAAACUCUUAAAGUGAAAUUUUUUUUUUAACUCUGCGUCAUUUUAUGUUUUUGACAUAAUUAUAGUGCUAAUAUUACAAAAUAAUGUACAAAAAACAUGAGAUAAUAGAUGAUCCAUUAAGAAUUUCACUUUAAAAGAGUUUAUUUAACAUUUCUCAUCAAUUAAUGGCGUCCCUAUAGAUAAAUCAUAAUUUUGAUAAGGAUGUAGUACUGAGAUUCUUUUAUAAAAAGUUGAUAUAAAAAAAAAAGCUAAUCUUAAAAAGAUGUUUGGCAAACACUUAAAAAUAGCUUAUUUUCAAAGUUUUUUGUGAAAAAAAACUGAAAACGUGAAGUAACAAAAAUAAAUUUAUUCUCAUAGUACAACAUAAACAAUUUUUUUUUCAAAAUACAGUAAUACCAAACCAACCAGUAGUAGAGUAUUGUAAAGGAAGAAAUGCUGAAGAGACUUUUGGGGUGGUUUGGGAGUGAGGUGUUAAAAAAAAAAGCACACAUGAAAAAAAGCUGUGAAGGUUUUAGGUGUUUGGUAAACUGAAAAAAAAUGGCUUAUUUUAGAAACUGCUGUGAGAAUAAACUGAAAUCAAAGGAAAAAGCUGAAGCUGCUAUUUGCAGCUUUGGAAAACUGGUUUUUUUUCAAAGCACACAGAGCUACAAUGCUUCUUUAAUUAAAAGAUCCACUAUCAGACUGCUUUUUUUUCCGAAAGCACUUUUACAAAAAAGUUUACCAAACACUCUGGUGAUUUAUUUCAUAGCCGCUUAUUCUCACAGCAGUUUUUUUUUUAAAGUACAACAAUACCAAACCAGCAUUUGAAAGUUAUAUUCUCCUUUAUCACAUUACAAUUUUACGUCUUUUAUUUUGAAAUCAUAAAAUAUUAUGUAAAAAUAUAAAGUCACAACGGGUGAGGAAUGGCAUUUCCCUUGUAAAUGUCAAACGGACCCCACGGCAUGGGUUCACUUUUUUAAGAAGAUGGAGAGAAAGGUGGAGGUGGAGGGACAUGAAAUGUAGUGGUUAGCAAUGGGAAAUGGAUCAUCUUGGGAUCCAUUCCGACUAAUUUAUUAAAUUAGAGAAUUUGUAUUGUUGAUAGUUAUAAACAGGGAUUCACUUUAUAAGUUAUAAUAAUUUUAACCGAUCAAUUUUCAAUGAUACGAAUUGUUGAUUUGAUGGAUUAGGAAAAAAAAAACCAGAGAGUCCGAGCAUUACAGACAAUAAAUUGUCAUUUGCUUAUGAUACACCUAAACUCUCUCUAUUAUUAUAGAGCAAAAAAUUUAAUUGUGACCAAAACACGAAUAGUACACAACAUGUUUUUAUAUAAAUAGUGAGAAAUUUUGUUUUUCAAGUUAUUAAUUUUUUUAACACACAUAUUUUAUUAUUUGUAUAACAACACGCAAUGUACCAAUUACAUCAAAAAAAUUUCUCCAUUAUAGAGAGAAUACAGUAAACUUUUUAUUUAAGUCUUCAAUUGCGUCUAUAAAUUCAAACUGUCCUUUCUCUUAAUAAAAACUAGACGAUGAGCACACGCUCUGUGUGUGUGAAUAAUUUUUUAUUUUUUAUUUUUAUUAAGGAGUGUGCUUAAUUUUUAAAAUAUUAAAAUAAGUAUGAAAAAUAUAAUGAUGGGACAACUUCUUUUAAUAAGUGCAUAUUUUAUUUUAAUAUAUACAUAAUUACUGUUUUACCCUCCUUGUGUAAGUAUUGUGUAUAAAAAAAUGAGGUUACAAUUGGAAAAAAAGGGUAAAAGAUACAAAAUUACUAUUUUGUAAGUAUUGUGUAACAAAAUGAGAACAAAAUUGGAAAAAAAAAUUGAUAAAAAUUUGACAAGGAGGGUUCCCCUAGUAAUAGUCUAGAUUAAAAGAGAAAUAUCGUUUGUCAUUUUGAAAAAGAGGUGUGAUAUCCACGCCCCAUUUUACUUCUCACACGCCUUUUUAAUUUUUGACCGUCGGAUUAGAUAAAUUGAAGAAGAUCAACGGACAUAAAUUAUCAAGGAGUAUGUGAGAAAUAAAAUGGGAUGUGUGGAUAACACAUCCCUUUGUAAAAAUAGUAAUCAUUUACUAACAAAUACAUAGAAAAAAAAAACAAAAAAAGUUUCUUGUAUAACAAAAAUGAGGACAAAAUUGGAAAAAAAUUGAUAAAAAUUUGAUAAGGAGAAUUCUCUUAAUAAUAGUCUAUAUUAAGUAAUAUGAUAAAAAAAAAUAUCAUUUUUAUUAAAAAUAAAUAGUACAAAACUGUUUUGUUAUAACUUUCAAAAAUAAAAAAUUUUAGGCAACAUGAAAAAAGAACAAAACUUAAAACAAGUCUAGCAUUAGAACAUUCAGAGGAGGCAGAUUGUCCGUCCUACUGUUCUACUGUUACCGUGUUUUUCCUAUCAUUUCUUAUUUAUGCCGUUACAGUUAAAACACGUUAAUAUUUUAUAUUAAUUUUUUAAUUAAAAUAAUAAGAUAAAAAAUAAUAAAAAUAUAAAAUGUUAACGUGAUUUAAUCGUGAUCGCAAAAAUAGAAAGAAAUAGAAAGGUCACGGUAACAGUAGGCCAUACAAUCUGCCUCCAAUUUCAGAUCAGUCGUUAGAAAGCGUUUGAACUUAAUAAGAAGCUCCACAAGCUCUUGAAUAUUCAUUUGGCAAACCUAUCAGCGGUAAAAUUAAGCCUUCCAGUAACAUGCUGUCAGUUCUCUAUGAACAAACUUCUUUACUCCGAGAGAACCGUAGAGAAGAUGAUUAAAGUCGGAAAAUGGGCAAAUCAAAGUAAGUAAUAACCAAAAACAUAACGAGCAAAAAAGGUAUUCUGCAAAAGACACAUGUUAAAUCAGGGCAAACAGUAAAAAAGAAAAUGAGAUCUCAUCACAUACAAGUACAGAGCAGAAGCUGAUGGAGGAUAAGUUGGGGAAAGAGAAAGAGAUGCAAGGGAUCAUUAUAAUAAGCAGUUUUGGGGAUAGCUCUUGAAAUAAUUUCGUGUUCUCCCCAAAAUCUCCGUUCUUACAGAUUUAUGCAACUCAUCUCACGCUUGCUCUCUCAACCAAAUAAACGAUUUGCUACUAUGUGUGUUAAAAUCCGCAAGAGGGGAAAGGAAAAGGGAUAAACUUUAGGAAAUUGAAGGAAUGGGAGGGUUAGGAAAGAAAUUCGAUCUCCAGAAUUUGAGACCAAAAAAGGAAGUUACUUCUUUCCUACCCUUCCACUCCAUAAACCUCCUCAAAGCCUUCCUAUUCCACCCCUCUUUUUCCAUGGCUUUAGGGUUCGCCGAUGUCGCUCACCCCUCCUUUAUAUAUGGGAACUGGGAGGUAGAAGAAAGGCCAAGGCUAUUUUUUGUUUCCCUUUUUACCCUUUGUUCUGUUACUACCCCCGAUCUAACCCUACCCCUCAAUUUAACCUUUUAAAUUUUUAUUUAUUUUUAAUGUGAAUAUUAGCUUUUUGAACUUUCUCUUUUGCGUUUCCAUCUUUCCCUUUUUUCCAACUUGACUAAUAAUAGAUGUGAAUAGCUCUUUAUCUAGGAUGUGCUAUUCACACACCUUAUUUUACUUUUUACACACAUCUUGAUAAUUUAUUUUCGUUGAUCUUCUUCAAUUCAUCCGAUCCGAUGGUCGAAAAUUAAAAAGAUGUGUAAAAAGUAAAAUGAAGUGUGUGGAUAUCACACCCCUUUAUCUAAUAUCUAAUGUCAAAAGAGAAUCAUAUAUGUAUAUAACAAUGUGACACUUAUCAUCUAUUUAUUCAUAAUUUAAGUUAGGUAACAUUUACUAACAUAUAUAGGUUUCAUCUUUAUCACAUAAAUAAAACAAGUGAUGAUACGAAUAACAUUUUUUAUCUAUACAUCUUAGUUUGAUUCUUAUCAAUUUUUUUCUCUUAACAACUGAUAAUUUAACUAAAGUAAUUUAUAAUAAAAAUAAUACAUGAUGAGUUUGAUGAUAGAACUAAGUGUAACUUGUAGAAUUAGAACUAAUGUGGAGACAUAAAAUGGCUUGCUUUCUCAUUCAGUGGAAUCAUAUCUACCGUGACACAAAUUUUGCGGCGAAUGCCAUGACCUUUUUAGAAUAUAGUUGCAACAAAUCUGUAUAUUUGGGAUGACUGUAUUCCUUAUCAAGCUAAAAAUGAUCUGUCAUAUGGCUAAAGUCUCGGGACACUUUGCAGGUAACCCGUGAGAGGUGUCUCUGGUAAAUCCGCAAUAAGAUAUAACUGAAAAUAAAAAUGUUUUUGGGAUAAAGGACAUUGAAAGAAAGGUUACGAUUUGGAUUGGAAUUGGAAUCCGAGGCGGAUGCUUUGGUGUUAUUCUUCCUCCACCAAAUUAUAAUAAUAAAUGGUCUAUAAAAAACCAAGCAAAUAUUAAAAAAUAAAUAAAAAGCUCAAGAGAAAUUGUGAAUUUUAAUUGACCAAGAUGAAAGCACGUCGGGACUCUAAACAAAGCACAUCUCUCGCAUGCAGCAAAAACAAGGGGUGUGAUAUCCACACACCCUAUUUUACUUCUCACACACCCUUCUAAUUUUCGACCGUCGGAUCGGAUGAAUUGAAGAAGAUCAACGGAUAGAAAUUAACAAGGGUGUGUGAGAAGUAAUUUGGGGUGUGUGGAUAGCACACCCCCAAAAACAAUUGUUCACUUAUGUAUUUACCCAUAAAUAUGGGUAGGUUCAGUUUCAAUCUGUUCGAUUUAAAUUUGUUCAGUUUUUGUUCGAUUCGAUUUUUUUUUAAUUUGAUUUUUUCCUGUUUGAUUUCAAUUUUUUCCUUUUGGUUCAGGUAUAUACAUUUAAUUUAUCGACCUAAGAAUGCAAUUAUGCUUGCCUUUUCAGGGAUUACAUGCAUGAAAAUGUGAUAAAAUUUUAGUGUGAAAAGGAAGUAGAAGAUAUUCUUAGCUUUUUACUUAUUGAUCUUCCCUGUCUAGGGUUUAUAGUACAUCAAAUCUUGAAUGCUGUCUCUUUUGCCUUCAGUAAUUCUUUGUAUAGUCUUUUGAUUAUGGGUGCAAUGAUUUUGAUGGGUGGCAUGGUGUCCACCAUGUGAUGUACCUGCUUAUCCAAGAAUGAAGAAUCCAUGAUCCAUGAGCAUGCUGCUCUGGCUACCAAAAAUAUUUGAAAUAGGAAAAUUGGCAAAGGUAUCCGGAAUAGAAAAUGUGGUAAUUAAUUUCACACACAUACAUAUAUAUAUAUAAGUUCGGUUUGAUUUGGUUCAAUUUCCAAACCACUAAAAUCGAAAUCAAACCAAGUAAUUUUGGAAAAAACUUAUGAUAGGGUCCCAAGAGACAUUCUUUGGAGGAUUUUAGAGAAGAAAGGAAAACGAGUAGCAUAUAUCCAAAUUACAAAGGAUAUGUAUGAUGGAGUAAGGACUCCCGUAAGAACUCAUGAAGGACAAACCGAAAGGUUAUCCAUAACUGUAGGGUUACAUCAAGGCUCAUCUUUAAGUCCUUAUCUUUUUGCAUUGGUAAUAGAUGAGUUAACGAGACAUAUUUAAGAUGAUAUUAUUUGGUUUAUGCUUUUCGCAGACAAUAUAGUGUUGAUAGAUAAAACUCAUGAAAUAAUAAAUGCGAAGCUUAACAUUUGGAGAUAAGUGUCGGAAUCUAAAGGUCUUCGCAUAAGUCGGUCAAAAAAUAGUAUAUGGAAUGCAAGUUCAGUGCAAAUGGAGGCUCAAAUGAGUUAUGGAUAAGGAUUAGAGAUUAGGAAGUACCAAAGAGUGACUGCUUUCGCUACCUAAGAUCUAUCUUGCAAAAAAACAGAUAGUUGAAGUGAAAUAGUGCAUUCGGCGUGUUGUGUGACCGUCGUAUGCCACUGAAGCUCAAGGAAAAAUUUUAUAAGAUGACAAUAAGGUCGGCAAUGCUUUAUGGCCUGGAAUGUUGGGCGGUGAAACAUCUACAUGUACAUAAAAUGGGUGUAGCAGAGAUGAGAAAGUUUCGUUGAAUGUGUGGGCACACGAGAAAUGAUAAGAUUAUGAAUGAGGAUAUCCGAGGUAAAGUAGGAGUAGCCGAAAUUGAAAAAAAAGAUGAGAGAAACUCGGUUACGGUGAUUUGAACAUAUGAAACGAAGACCUACUGACGCUCCGGUUAGAAGAUACGAUUACGAAACAGAAGUUCAAAGCCGAAAGGAUAGAGGAAUACCUAGAAAGACUUUAGAAGAAACUCUAAGAAAAGAUCUAAAGUAUUUGGAUGCAAGAGAAGGCGUGACACAUUACCAAAAGUAAUGACUUUCUAAGCUCCCGUUUGGGAGUGAGGUGCUUUAAAAAAAAGCACCUAUGAAAAAAAGCCCAAAGGGAUUAGGUGUUUGGUAAACUUUGAAAAUCAGCUUUUUUUUCAAAGUUUGAGAUCAAAAUAAGCCAAAAUGGGGAAGCUGCAAAUAGCAGCUUCCAAAAGCCCAAAGCGGCUUUGAAGAGAAAAAACACGGGUGAACAGUAAAAAAGUUAAUGAAAUUUUUGAAUAACCCAAAAUUACCCCAAGACAGGUCUCUCUCGUAAACCCUAAAAUUUUCUCGCCUCAGCUCUCUCUCGUAUGCAGCCGCUGCACCUCUUCCUCCUCACUGCCCUCUUUUAGUGAAGAAAAUGUUGCGGCGUCGACCACCUUCUCAAUUUUCCCAAGACCAGGUAAAAUUGCUAUAAAUUUUGCAUCUUUGUUCUUCCCAUGUAUCCAAUUAGUAUAUAAAAAAACAUCAUUUUUAAUGUUAAAAUUCUUUCCUAUAUAUCAUCAGUUCGUGUGAUUCGUUUGGUUCUGUUUUUCUGAUUGGUUCCUCGUACUUUGUCUAUGUCUUGUGCAAAAUUGAUUUAGUUACUUAAGGAAAUCAUGAAAGAGAGGAGAUUACCUAGUUAACAUUUGUUUUUGUGUUUUUGGGUUCAAUUGAUAGGGCGGUGGUUACAUUUGUUAAUGUUCUAAUGUUCUAAUUUUUCAGUUUUGGGGUUUGAAUUAAUUCUCUAAAUUCAGUUUGGGGUUUGAAUUAAAUUUCAGUUUUGGGGUUUGAAUUAAGGUUUAUCAUGAGAUCCAUGAAGCACUCUCCCCUACCUUUUGAGCAGCAAAACCACUCUCCCCUGCCUUUUCUAUCUAUUGAUGUUCCGUUGAGAAGAUUUGUGUGUUGUUGUUGGAUCUGCAUUUUUGCAUAUCCAUUUUUAAUCCUCUCUAUUUGUUGAUGCUUGCCAGUACACUGCUUUUAAUCCUCCAUCUCAUGUUGCAUUUUCAGACUGUGCUUCCUCCCGUCUAUUAAUCUCCACCGCCACGGUUUCAUCUUCUCUGUCUUGCUCUAGGUAUUGUUCGUUCCUAUUGUAUUGUAUUUAUGGUUUUCGUUAAUAUUUAAUUGUUUCCUGGAAAGAGAAAGAAUAAUUGAAAACACUUGAUUGUUAAUUUUGGAAACUUGCAAAUAAAUUUUUGAUUUUGUUGUGAUUACUAGUAUUAAUUGAAAUCAAUGCUUUUGUAUGUGGUUUAUUUGCUUUUGCUUCUUGGUUUAUUUGUUUAAUUGUUUGUUUGGUUUCUUACUUCGAAUUUACGGAUUUGUUUUUAAGGUGUUAUGGGCUGAUGAUUAUUAUAGGAUGCUGCUUGUUUUUGGGUUAGUAGCUGUCUAGCAUCAUCAUCUUUUGAUACUUGAAAACCAACAUAAUUGAAAAUACCAAACUUCAGCAGUGAGAAGCAGAUUGUAUUUCUAAGUUCUCACAUUUUUACGUGCAAAUUAAUGUCCCAUGGAAAUGAUUUAUCAAAUCUGCAACUCUGUAGCUGUGCCCUGAUUGUGCAUUUUAUUAUUAAAGUUGCCCAGUUUCUUAUCAUUUCCAUAAUACAUGCGGAAUAUUCUGGAUACCUAGCUAAAUAUAUUUCAAUUAAUACAUGCGGUUUAUUUGCUUUUUCUUUUGUUUUUAUCUCACCAACAAAACCCCCCAUCUCUCACUUUAUAUACCCUCAUCACAUUUCACUCUUUAAUUGCAUUCCCAACCUCCAUUUUCUCUCUAAGUUCCUCUGCUCUGAGAGGUCAGUGCCACUAUUUUUUUCAGGAUUUUGUGUGUUCAAUUACACUUCUUUGGGCUUCUGAAAGUUUACUGCUUUACUUCAUUAUCUGUUGUAUUAAGUGUUAUUGUAUGUAUGUGUGUGUGUGUGUAUCUCUGAUAUGUUGUGAUGUAUUAUUCUGAUUUGAGUGCUACUGAAAUAUUAGCAAUGUUCUUGCAUAUGUUGGGACAUGGUGUGAAAAAUAGAUUAGCGCAAGAGAGAUUUCAACAUUCUGGUGAGACUAUUAGUAGAUAUUUUGGUGCUAUGUUGGAUAUCGUAUGUAAGAUGGCAAUAGAUAUUAUCAAAUCGAUGGAUUCAGAGUUUCGUGGCAUUCCCUAAGAAAUAAGGAGAGAUACAAGAUACAUGCCUUAUUUUAAGGUAAAUUUUGACUCGUCUUCUAACUUAUUUGCAAACUAUAAGUGUAGGUUGACGGUUUUUUUCAAUGUUAUUAUUUUUAGGAUUGUAUUGGUGCCAUAGAUGGAGUACAUGUUGAGGCUUCAAUACCACCUCCGGAUCAAGUUCCAUACAUUGGUAGGAAAGGAAUACCGACUCAAAAUGUUAUGGCUGCAUGUAAUUUUGACAUGCAAUUCACAUUUGCUUGUGCUGGAUGGGAAGGCACUGCACAUGAUACAAGGGUUUUUCUAUCCGUGCUACGCUACGAAAUCCAAAUUUAAACCUUUCCUAAGCCUCCAAAUGGUAAUCUUCAUACUUAUAUUAUAACAUUUUACAUACUUGCUUUGUAUAAUUAAUACAAUACAAACAAAAUUUUCAAUUUGUCAGGAAAAUAUUACUUGGUAGAUGCGGGAUACCCACAAAUGAGAGGUUAUUUGGGACCAUAUAAAGGUGAAAGAUAUCAUCUCCCAGACUUUCGUAGGGGUGCCGAACCAACGGGUCAUAAAGAGGUAUUCAACCACACACAUUCUUCUCUUAGGAGCAUCAUUGAACGAACUUUUGGGGUAUGGAAGAAAAAAUGGUCAAUUUUAAGGGAUAUGCAUAAUUAGCCGUUCAAUAAGCAAGUGAAGAUUGUCAUUGCUACAAUGGCUCUUCAUAACUACAUACGGAGGUAUUCUGAACGUGAUUGUCAUUAUGAUGACCCCAGAGACUAUUGUGAAGAGAGCGAUAGUAGUGAUGAUGAUGAUGAAGAAUAUCGAAAUUAUGAAGUUGAAGGAUCAAAUGAGAUAGAGGCAUUAAGAAAUAGAAUAGCGGCAAGUUUGAUGAAUGCAUCUAAUUAGACUACUUUCAAGUACAUUAACAAUAUUGUACUAAUGAAUUCUAGCUAUUUAGUCUAAAAUAUUUCAAUUGAAAUAGUUUGUCAUACUAAUUAAUAUUUAAGAUAAAGUUUAUAAAUAUUUUUCUUUUAAAAAUAAAGUAUAUUUAAUAAUUCAUCUUUAUUUGUUAAGAAAAUUAAAUUAAUAGCACAUAUAGUAUUAUACCCUUUUGGUCAUUUCACACAGCCACAGCUGUUUUACAUAAAAGUUUACCAAACACUAUCAUACUGCUUUUUUUUCAAAAGCACUUUUACAAAAAAAUUUACCAAACAGUCUGCUGCUUUAUUUCACAUACGCUUAUUCUCACAGCAAAGCCGUUUUUUUCACAGCCGCUUUUUUUUAAAGCACAGCAAUACCAAACCAGCCCUAAGAUUCAUACUUCCCACUUGCAAAAUAAAACUUUGUUGUUAUUUCGAUUUGGGUUCGAUAUACGGUUCGCUUUUUUGAAACCACCCUUACAAGUUCGGGGUUGUAGGGCGACCACCGCUCGGUAAUUAAAAAUGUUUUCCAAUAACAGACGUUAUUUUAGACCAGUUUCUAAUACAUGGAAAGAUCGUUGUUUCUAUAUUUCCGAUUAGAUCCCUUUUUUUUUUUUCCAUAUUUCCGAUGGCCUCGGAAAUUCCAUGUCAAAAUAUUGCUGGAUAUACAGUUUGCAGCAUAACAUAAAAUAAAACGAGAAACAAUUUCAGGGAAGUGAAACGAAAAUGAUGCAAACUUAAUCCAUUUCAUUUAUGAUGGAAUCCAACAUAUUUAUAACUAAUUAACAGAAAAUAAAGGAAAAACAGAGGAAAUUGAAAAGGAGAGGGUAAGAGAGAUCUGACGACUUUACCAGCACCCCAAAACGCAUAAAACAGUGAGAAUUAUUUAUUUAGAGAAAAGGUGGGGAAAAGAAGGAGGGAGAGGAAAUCAUGGGACUUAGUGGCAUCGGUAGGAGAAGGACUCCAGAUCAUCAGGUUUUCUCACCGAGCAACUAAGUCCUAUAACUUCCUCAACCUCUUUCUCCUUUUCCCCUUCUCUCAUAUCAUAUUCUUCCCCUUUUUUUCUUAUUCUUUCCUCACCAGACGACGAAAACAACGCUGGCCUCACUUUCUCCCAUUUAUAUACCCACACAGCGUGACGUGGCCCUAGUUUCAUAUAUGGGCCGAGUUUGUUGACCCAAUGAAUAUUAUUCAUGUUUGGGCUGAGCAUAGGCCUUCUUUCUUAUUUCAUGUUUUUAUUGUCUAAUAUGCUCUAAUUUUUUUGCUCCAUAUUUUCAAUCUAGAAGUUUUACGUUUGAGCAAAAAUAAUAUGUGGUGUUAUCCACAUAUCGUCUUUUACUUCUUAAGCACUCCUCUCAUUUUUCGAUGGUCAGAUUUAACAAUUGAAGAAUACCAAUGGAUAAAUAUUAAUUUAACAAGAGUGUGUAAGAGAUAAAACUGAAUGAUACUACUACCCAAAAUAAAUUCAUCGGGUCUAAAAUUCAUUUGGUGGGUGUAUGAAAGGGCUUCUCGUUGCGCCCCCCCCGGAAAAACACAUUUUACAGAAUAAAUAAUAUAAAUAAAAAUAUAAAUAAAGAAGUUGUAGUAUCAUAUGCAGGGAAACAAAAUAAAUUCAUUGAAACAAAAGAGAAUGUGCGGUUUAAAAGAUACAUUAACGUGCAAAAUUCAUUCCUUAUAGAGGAACAAUAUAACAAUAUUUAAAAAAAAAAAAAAAAAAAAAAAGGAGGCUUAAGAGCUCAUAUCUCUGAAGAAACACCAAACACCUCAUGGAUGAAGAAGUAUAUAUGAUGAUGCUUCCAAAUGUUCAAUUUAGUUGAACCCGAAUCAACUUAUACAAAAAUGAGAUAGGAGCUCAUAUCUCUCUGGCUAGAAACCGUGUCUUUUCUUCACCUUUUCAGGCCAUUUUCCUUUGCCUUUUACGCCAUCGCCAUUAAGUUUUUACACAUUUGACCUAAACAUGUUUAUUACUUACCGCAUCGUAUCAUAUGAGACUAAUUAGUUUUUAUUUUGUUUAAGUCCGUAUUUAUACUUACUUCAUACCCGAUAUAUAUACGAUAUCUUCCGAUGGGAGGCAUAUGUAACAUAAACAUUUGGCUCUCCAUCAUCAUACUCAUUUAUUUUACCUGUCCCGAUUGAACUGCCUUUGCCUGGGCUUGUUUGGAACCAUCAGCUUCUCAUUCUCGGUGAGGGCGUGGCGGAAAUGGCAGCGGUGACCGUACGGGCAGACAGCACCGGAAAGCACCAUCCUGCAGACCUCGGUCUUGUAGCGCGGGUGGCGGAUCACAGGGCGGAGCUCCUCAAUCCCAUGUGCAAACUGGCAGUGAUCGCCGUAAGGACACUCUCCGACCUCCUGCCACUUGUUGCACAGCUCUGUCUUGAACAUGCCUUGGUUGUAAACUUCCAAUUCCAGCGGUGGCUCCUCCUCUUUCACCCCUUUCGGAACGAACACUUUUUGCUGCACCAACCAUCGUCAUCAUCAGUUCCCACCACCAUCAUUACACAAAAUAAAACUGAAAGUUGAUGCACUGUUUAUUCAACAACUGUUUGUCCGCAUCGAAAUUAGAUUAAGAAUUACGCAAAUUAAAAAAAAAACUAAAGUAAAAUAAAAACCGCAUUAGAAUUAGACUGAAAAUUAUAAUUUUGUGAAUUAAAUUAAAGAAAAUUCAAUAGUGAGGAUAUAGGAAAUGGCUUACCGAAGCAUUGAAUGCAGUGGCGGUCACAGUCCGAGUGGCAGUGCUAGCACCGGCUUGAGCGGCCUGAGCAGCCUUCACGUAUCCGUUAGACCUCACAGAAAUGCUCUUAGGCAGCGAAAACCUCUCCACAUCAAUAUUCUCGGCGUCGCCGCCUUCGCUCUCAAUCACACUCGUAGGGCUCUUGUUGGACACGUCCCGCUCUGCUCGCUUGUCAUCAAUUCUCAUGUCGCGAAGUCCGCUAACGAUCCCAAACGGCGUCGUUGUCUGCACAGAGGAAGGGGAACCGAACUGUUUCUGCACGGAGGCGUGGAUGAGUAGACUGAGUUGCUUGUUGAGCUCGAGAUUGAGAGAGCGGAGAUGAACGUUCUCGCGACGGAGAGCGUCGGCUUCCUCGGAGGUUUCUUGGAGGCGCUUGAGGCAGCGGCUGUGGCGGUUCACCAUCUCCUGAUGAUCUUGAACGAGGAUCGAAUGGUAGAGUUGGCGGUGGCGGUGAGCUGAAGACGAGUCGUGGUCCGAUUCUUCGACGUCGUAUCGACUUACCGAAGGCUUGCGAUCGAAUAUAGCGGAGUAGAGGGAAGCGAACACGGCAUUAUCUUCGCUAGAUUGCGAUUUAAGUGGCGAUUGCGGCAUUGCAGAUGUGGCGUGGCCGCCAUAAGCGGUACAGGAAGUGUCGUUUUGCAUCUCCAUUGUCUUCGUUUCGCUGCACCUGAAUUACAGAGCCAACGCAAAAAAAGCGUUAAGUUCAAUUCGCGAAAGAAAAACAAGAAAUCUAUCGCUUUAUAAUCAAGAAAAGCACGUAAGCGAACAGGAAUUGUACCUUUUCUCGAAAUUCCGGUUCAAUUUCUUCAAUUUUACUCUGAAAUUUAACAGAGGAGCAGUGCUCUCUGAAGCAAUCUAAUUAAUGAAAACAGAUCUAAAUUUAAUUUCACAUAUAUUGAAAAAUAAAUAGAAUUGUCAAAAAAUUGAGGAGAAAUCGAUCGAACAAAGAAUCAAAACAGAGACUAAAAAGCUGUUUGGAUCGAGAGAAAAAGAAGAGCAGUUGUUUACCUUCAGAAGCAACAGAAGAUCUUCUCCUCUUUCUCCUCCUCCUCCAGUUGGAGUGAGAAGAGUAACGAAUGGAGGUGCUCAGGUACGGUGGCUGGUUUUAAAGGCGUGGCGGUGGAGGAGAGAUUUGGAGGGAAAGGGGAGGAGCAAAACGGAUUCGAAACUGUUUUAGACAAGCGCUUAGCUGAAUGCCUUAUCAGCUUCUCAACCGAGGCAUCCUAGUGUUUUUUACCUGAUCUGUCCUCAUUGUUAGACCAGCUUUGUUGUAUUAUGCAGGGUUUUUUGGUCAUUUACUAUCAUCGGUUAGUUAGAACUGAACUACUGAAGAGCAGGAAGUUAUAUCUUCAGUUCCUUUGAGCCAUUGGAUUUUGAUGGAUUUGAUCGAACGGUUUUCAAACCUUUCCGGCCCGUCAGAUAUGGGGCAUGAUGAGAUUCAACAUACAAGCGCCCGCAGUAGAUAAUUUACUCAGUGUGUUCACCCACGAGGUUAGAGUGACUGAGUGAGUGCCAACUGGCAACUAGUUUGCAACAAAUGUUACAAAUACCAAAAGGGUAGAGAAAUGCCUAAAUAGACUUGAAAACAGAUAUGAAAUAUUUAGAGUUAAUCGAAGAUUUGAUAUAAAAUGAGCGCAAUAGCGUUUUAAGAUUCAUACAGUCGAUCAUAUUUAAUAGGAUAAAGCUUUAUUAUUGUUGUUACUUGUUUUGGGUCAACCAAUGGGUUGAUCAACCCUCAAAUUGUUACCUAAAAUAAUCCAAUCACUCAUAUUUUUACUUAGAAGAUUUAGAAAUGUUAUUGUGUUCUUAAUAUAAAAUUAGCUUUAUUUGGCCUUUUGGGUAAACCGGUUUUCAAUUAACUUUUAAUUAAGGUGGUUAAUUAUUUAAAAAACCGAUUAGGACAUGAGUAGCAUUCAAAUGAAAGACGGAAUACAAUCAUCGCUUUCUAUCGGUUAUGGUUAUGGGGAGGAGGUUGCUUGUUUAACACAUCCACUGGUAUAACAACCUGCCAUCAAAAUCUACUAUCCGAUGUUUGGUAAGAUCGAUCCCGAAUGCCUCCCUCCCAAUAGCAUGUUUUCUCAGCAUAAUUAAGCUUCUUCUUUAUUCAAACAAACUGCUAAAUGGUUUUACUGUCUUUUUCUAUGCAGUUUGGCCGUGUUUUCCACGUAGCUUCUUAUGAUUCAAACAUUAUCUAUGAAAUCAAAUUGGAAAUCAUUAGUCUUCCAUAUGUAACAAAUCAAUGGUAACAAAUAAGAUUCUCAUGAUACUGAUGAUUAAAAUAUCUUCAACUUGAUUGUUUUUUACAAAGUUGAUCUUUAAAUAUGAAUUAAGAACUCGAUUAUAACAUGUGUAUGGUGAAAUCCGUUAUUAAAAUUGGGUGGACAAUGAGGCACACUCACGUAAGUAAUUCCUUAAUUAAGGCAGUGAACUUUGUACAACCAGUAUGUCACGUACCCUUUCAUAUGUUGUGUACAUUAUACUAGUACAUAAAUGAAAAACAAACACUAUCUCCUAUUUUUUAUUCAUGGAAUACUCGUCACUAAGAUAGAUAACGAGAAAUGUGUUGGAUCUUAUAGCUUCUAUGAAUGGUAAGAGCAAAUACUUAACUUCCGCCCAAGAGAAUAAUGGAUUAUCUUCCCUUUGAAUUUGCAGCAUAACUUUCAUGAAUUGCGGCUCUGCAUUUGUAAUCGUACUUCUGCUAAAAGGAAAAAAAAACACACACAAUAUAUACGUUAUAUUUAUUUAAGAAAGAAACAAAAGAAAUGAAUAUGAUUGAUGUUCAGAGACCUCCUUUGCUCUAGCAUGGCCCUCAUAUGAUACAUAUUGAUCAGCUCCAAAUGACUCCUCGAAGUUUCGGAACGUCGAAUCAACGUCAGGCGUAUUGAGAUCAGCAUGAUCGUAAGUUUGUUCUUCACAAACCCCGAGAUCUUGCAUAUUCUGAGACCACAGCUGCAAAAUCAAUCAAUUGAGAAUUCUUCGGUGCAUAUUCAGCCGAUUAAUUCAUAAAUGUAUGUCAUGCAUUGAUCUACUGCCCGUAAUUUCUGUCAUUUACCUGACUAUUUUGCACUGGACUUCUGCAAUGCCAAGAUGAUUCUGUAUAAAAUGGAAGUUCUUCAUUACAUUCGAAUUUCCGGCUUGAAGUAGCACUGUUGUGAUGAUGCACUGAAGAACGUUUAUCAUGACUUUGUUGAUCAUGAGCAGAUACCAGAAAUGAAUUAGGGUUAUUCUCCUCACUCAGCUGAAGCCUUUUCAAAUCAAGAAUCUGAUCCAGAAUAAAACUGUUACAAGAGCUUUUCUGAUAUUUACCUCCAUCUCCAUGGGAAGAUAUCUGCAAAAGAUAUUAAUACCAAAAAAAAAAAAAAAAAAAAAAAACCCUAACUUUUAGAGAUCGAAAUGUAAAGUUUGGCUCGUCAUAGAAAUUCCAAGUUUACCACAUUUCUGCCAGUACUGGUGGACAGAUUCUCAUUCAGUUGGAACCCCCAAAAUGCUGCAAAUUCCUUGGCGGAUGGGCAACCGGUAUAACUGCUGAUCAUGGUCCGUUUCUGAUGCGGCCGUGAAGAGUGCCGGUGCAGGCUCUGGUCGCAUACGCGGCACAUAAACAUCCGGUGAUCCAAACACUGAUCGUCGGCUGAACGGUAUUUGCACGAAUCGCAUAAGAGGGUUCGCUGAUGGGAGUCGACAAUUGGGUUAGCAGAAUGGACUUUUGCAUCGCAGGGAAGGCAAAGAUGUGCAGCGUCGGCUUUACAGUACACAACUGGCCUUAAAUCCAAGCACAAAUCACAACUUUUCUUCAUUGGGUUUGACCUCUAUAUAUAUAUAUAUACUUCACCAAAUUCCUCCAAAGAUUCAAAUUGCUGCAGCAGAUAUUCAUCACACCAGUGGUCACUGGACUUGAACUGACCUGUUUUGACUUAAUUAAACAACGUAUUAACUUGCUUCUCUUUUUAAUUAACUAGCAGUUGUACACAUACUAUGCUUAUUAAUUCAACAUUUAUAAACCUCAACAUACGAAUUUGUUUUUGUUAACUCAUCGUCACAAAAUUAAACACUUUACUAAUCAUUAUACGUAAUUUAUGCAGCAACGAAAUGCUCUUGCAGACAAAUAGAGCAUUAUUUGUUCAUAAAAACAACAGCAGCAUUUUAUUAAAGUCAAUCCUUUAAAACGAACAAAGACAACUCUCCCUACGCAGCGUUUUAUUAAAUUCAAGCCUUUAAAAUGUCGGCGUGUUGAGUUUCAAAAGAUAAAGCAAAACAACUCCUCUUCUUCGCGAGUUGUAGCCACCGUGCCGCAGACAUUGCAUCUAAAUUCAGCCAGCACAACCUGCACAUAUAAUUGGGGAGUGCUCGGAGGUCCUCUCAAGCCUUUCUCCCGUGGCUCCCGGGACCACCGAGUCCCUCUGUAGAUCCGGCCCUAACCCAAUCGAUGGCUAACGUAAAUGUGUAAAUCUCGAAAAAAAGCCUAGGAAACUUCCGAACAAAUUGAAGGAAAAAAAAAAGGGGUAAACAGCAACCUCAAUUCGUCUUAGGCGAUCCAAAGAUUCCAAACUAAAAGAAAACACUAAAAAAGAUCCCCUGUAUACGUACAAAUUAAUCCCAAAAAUAAUUGUAGUUUAAAAUUCAGAAACUUAAUUAAAAACCCUAAUAAGUAAAGAUAAACUAAAACCUAUCAUCUUAUUUCCUGAGAAAGAAAAAAAAAAAAGCAGUCUCAGAACGUCUACUGCGUAGAAUUUUGCACUAAGAAAUACAAUUUUUCCGGGGAAAAAAAAUCAAGGCUCAUGAGGCUGACCUUCUUCUCUUCUGAUUCGGAGGAGCUGCCGCUCAAAUGUUCAUGGCCUCUUAGAAAUCAUCUUCUCCGAAACUUCUUUGGCUAUAUGGGGGGACGUGUAAAAGUGAACCUUUUUUAUAAGCGUAAUAUUCCGACAUGGAUCAUGGACAGCGGGUCCCACCGGCGGUCUGAAGGGAUGUUCUUAUUGGUGGAUGAAGAGACCUUACCUGCUUCCGCCAAUGGGGGUUUGACAGCACUUGAGCUCUGUUAGGUAUUUCGGCGCGGGAGUUAGGACUGAGUUGUGGAGUCCAUAUACCCAACCACACGAAUAGCCAGCUGCCAAGUACGGAUUUCCGUACCUCCAUUAUCCAUACUCCUCUUUUGUUGAUCUUUUAAUUUUUUUUUUCAAAUACAAAUAGUUGAUGUCACAUUCACUUUAAUUCGUGAGAUUUAAAAUUGUUAGACCUACUCCAACUCUGAGCUAAAUGCCAAAUAUUUAGCCCAAAAUUCCCCCCAAACACCCCCCAACCCAAGCUAAAAUAUUGGGCUAAAAGGGGAAUGCUAAAAUUGGGCCAAAUUCCCCCCCCCCCAGCCGCGUGGACUCGCCCAGUUUUGGGCCACUCUCGGCCCGUGGACUCGCGCACGCGCCCCACGCCCACAGCUUGCAACCGGAGCCCGACAAGAGGGGGUCCCACCGUCAGGCCUUGUCGGCCACUCUUCAGAGCCCCAACGGCUCUUUUCGAAAUCAAACAGGCAGGAUUUAAGGACCGUUGGUUGAUCCAACGGUCCAGAUUCAAACUUUAUUUUUAAAAAAUAUAUUAUUUUAAAAUACAUUGAAUCUAACGGUUCAGAUUGAAUAUACUCAAAUCUAACGGUAAAAAAAAGAUCUAACGGCCCAAAUUUAAAUCCAACGGCUAAAAUAAUUAAAUAAAUUUAUUUAACACAAAAUUUACCCAAAAAAUCUAUAAAUACCUAUCUAUUUGUUCAAACAUCCACACAAAAUUCAAUUUUCUCCUACAAUUCUUCCAAUUUAUCUUUCUAUCAUUUCUUUCCAUUUCCAAAUUGUUCAACAUGGCAAGAGAGCAUGUUAGAGGUCGUAAUUGGACCUUUGAGGAAGAUGUUUCUUUAUGCUUGGCAUGGGUGUCUGUUAGUGAAGAUGGUGCAGUUGGCACAAAUCAAAAUAAAAAGGUUUUGUGAGAUAAAAUCAUUGCAAAGUUUCAAGAAAACUGCAACGGCAGCGGGCGAGACGGUGGUGGUGUUUAUGAUCAGUGGAAGACUAUCAACAAAGCAUGCACUUUAUGGAAGGGAAGCUUAGAGAGAGCCAUGGUUGGCAUGCCUAGUGGAAGGAGCGCCAUAGAAAUUGUGAGUUUUUUUCUUGAUAUUUUAUUUGUCAUGUACAUAAUAUUAUUUUGCAACUAAUUAUUUUUAUGUAUUUUUUGCAUAGGGUGACAAAGCAAUGGAAAUUUACAAGACAAGAGUAACACCAAAAAAUCAAGUUUUUAAGUUGCAACAUGCUUGGUAUUGUGCCAUCUCCAUUGCCCUGCUACGCCUUCUUCUAUCACUCAUUGAUGAGAUAUUGAGAAUUUUUAGGAAACAAAAACUCUUUGAAAGUUGAAAGAUUGGUGAAUAUAGAGGAUGAUUGAAGGUUGAAAGAUUGUGUGAUCACUAAUAUUGGACCUGUGUUUAUAUAGAGGAUGAUUGAUGGACGGUUGGUGAAAGUUGAAAAUUUUGUGUUGAACGGUUGGUGAAAGUUGAAAGUUUGGUGUUGAAAGUUGAAAGUUUGGUGUUGAAUGGUUGGUGAAAGUUGAAAGUUUGGAGUUGAACGGUUGGUGAAAGAUGAACGGUUGGUGAAAGUUGAAAGGUUGGUGAAAGUAGUUUGCUUUGUAAAAAAUUUAAUGAUUUUUCAAUAUUUAUCGGAAUUUAAAUUUUUUUAGAUUAAAAUGUUCAUAAAAUUAAUUUACAAUAAUCUACAUAUUUAUUUUAAAAAAAAAUAUUGAUUUAAGAAAAAAAUUAGCCUAAGUUCAUUCUUUAAUAAUUCCGGGCUAAAAUUUUAGGCCAGAAGGGUUGGAGCAGAAAAGAUGUUUCUGGGCUAAAAGCCAAAUUUUCCGGGCUAAAAAAUUUGGCUUUUAGCCCAAGGGUUGGAGAUGGUCUUAGAAGUGGUUUAUGAAAAAUUACCCUAUUCAAUGUGCGACAAAAAUCUGUUAAAUAAGACGAAAAUAUUCUUAAUUUUGUCAAAUCAUAAUGUGCCACAAAAUUAUCCUAUUCAACUAAUAAAUUUAGUGUUUUUUUAAAAUAAUACAUUCAGUAAUGUGCGACAAACCUACUCUACAAUUUUUUUUUAUCAAAUCCAAUUUUAUCAUGUGGUAACGUUGCCCAACUCUUUGUAAACAUACCAAAAAGCCCCUUAUCGCUCUCACAUUUGAAUACAUAGUGACAAAUUUUAUUUAAAAAAUAGUAUAAAUAUAGUAAGAAAAAAUAUAUAUUAAAUAUAGCAGUUUUGAAACAUAUUUAUUCACCACCCUCGUACAAAUUAUAUUUGCACUAAUCCGAAAAUAAAGGAAAAGAAGCGAAAAGAUGAAUUUGAUAUUGCCAUUAAAGUCUAAAGCUAGCAUAAGGAGUCGAGCAUGACUAAUCACACAACCAGCCGGGAGUGGGAACUCUUGUGCGGAAGCACACCAACAAGCUUCACACACAGGAGUCGGUAUUGCCAAUAUUCUCCCACCUUAGCCACACAAAAAAACGGAUAUGAAAUUUUACCAAAAGACAUCGGCAGUAUAUGUGGUACUAUUCCUUGUAAACCAUAGAUGGCUCACCCCACCCACGGAUUUGGGACUCAGUUGUGGCUCUAAUCUCAGCCACCAAACCCAACAGGAGCUAUGAUUAAUUAGGCAAAACCUAGUACUUGAUACGAUAAUAGAGGAGACAAGUUGAAAAAAUAUCCUACCUAAAUUCUAUAAAUUGACAUUUGACAUGACAUAAGCUUGUUCAUGCUUUCAUUUGCAUCAAAACAAUAACUUUACCAACAAGGAAAUCAUAUUGCAUUAACUCAAAGUAAUUUUUUAUUUAUGAACGCAUGCAAGAAAUGAAUGUAGCAGAGAUGAAAAUGAUGAAAUUGAGGUUCCACCAUAAAACCAAUUGGUAAUAUAGGGUGUAGCCCAAGAUCAUAUAAGCACAUAGCAAACCUUGUCCCUCACCGAUGUGGGACAACUCUCAACACGCCCCCGCACUUGUGGCGGAUUUUCAAGCCUACAUGUGGACAACAACUGGGUGACGUGGAGCGCGUGUGGCCGUUUGACUUCACACGAGGACAACCUGCUCCGAUACCAUGAUGAAAUUGAGGUUCCACCAUAAAACCAAUUGGUAAUAUGGGGAGUAGCCCAAUAUCAUAUAAGCACAUAGCAAACCUUAUUGAAAUUGAGAUUCUACCAUAAAACCAAUUGGCAAUAUGAGGAGUAGCCCAAGACCAUAUAAGCACAUAGCAAGCAUUAUCCCUCACCGAUGUGGAACAACUCUCAACACGCCCCCGCAUGUGUGGCGGAUUUUCAAGCCUACACGUAGACAACAACUGGGUGAUGUGGAACGUCAAUUUCAUCAGAAAAUAUUUCGUACACUUUUGGGUAGAUGAGAAAUGACAUGAUUAAGAAUGAGGUUAUCCGCAAUUGAAGAUAAGAUGGGAGAAAAUCAGUUAAGGUGAUUUGAACAUGUGAAACGAAGACCUACAGAUAUUCUGAUUAGAAAAUGUGAUAUGAGAUUAAGACUCAAGGCAAAAGGGGUAGAGGAAAACUUAGGAAGACUUGGACAAAGACUUUAAGAAAAGACAUGGAGUACUUAGAGCUAACAAAAGACUUGCCGCAAAAUUAAGUGGCAUGGCAUUCUAAAAUUUAUAUAGCUAGUGAGAUACGACUUUAUUGUUGUUAUUGUUAUUGAUUACUGUAAUGUGAGAUGAUAUCAAGAUUUUCAAACGAAGCAUGAAUUGUGAUGUAUUUUCCAACCAGAAAAUCAAACUGUACAGUUAUAUAUGCACAAGACCAAGAUGCAUCCAAAGCAAAAGUUUAAUCAACUUCUUCUUGUGAUCGGAAGUCACGGAGAAUCCAUGUUCUGUUGAUGGUUUUGAGGUUCGUUACAAGCCUUAUCGUUGUCAAAGUCAGGUGACUGAUUAAUGAAAACAGACGAAACCUCAGAUGCAUCAUGUUCCUGCCAAAUGAUCAUAUAGGAACAGAAAUGAGAAGAGAGUAUAAGCCACAAACCAGAAGGGAAGGAAAAUCAAAAUUCACACCACGACUGCACUUGCAUUGCCAUUAUCUGAUUUAUCAACGGAUAUGCCCUUUAUAACACAUCUUUAUCAUGAAGCACUGCAGCUCUGAUAGGAUCUUGAUCACCUCCGAAUAGUUCUUCGAAGUUUUGAAAUGUCAUAUCAACAUCAGGUAUAUUGAAAUCAUCGGGACAAACAAGUUCUUCACAAACUCCUAUGUCUUGCAUAUUUUGAGGCCACAACUACAAAACCAAUACAUGACCAUAUGGUAAAACAAAAUGAAAUUUGUUCUAAUUUCUAACUAACAAGGCCCUGGGUACGACCCUGCGUAAAGCGGGAGCCUUGUGCACUGGGUAUGACAUUUUUCUAACUAACAAGGCCUAAAGUUUUCAGUUGUUGUUGAACAUAAUUAAACCUUAUUCUUUCUAUCGCGGCACUUCUAAAUGGUAUCAGAUAAGUGUUUAAAUGAAUAACAAGUGAUAAAUAACUACAUAUGAUCCCAAGAAUCCAAAUAAAUCAAUUUCACUGGCAUUAAUCUAACCUGAUUACUUUGAACCGUACUUCUGCAUUGCCAAAAGGAUUCUGUAUGCAAUGGAAGUCCAGCAGUUGAAGAUGGUUGCAUAAGCUCCAUUUGAGAAAAUGGAAAUGAUAAAUGAUCAACUUUCAGCUCCUGAACUAGACUGUCCCUUUGCCUAAAUUUAGUGCCGGAAUUCUGGGAAUGUUGUAAAAGCCGAUCAAGAUGAACAUUGAGCCGCUUUGAUGUCUGAAGUACUGAGGAAGAUAGGUCAAUUUGUUCUGUACCGCGUAUCAGCAGCGAAGGUGUAUUCCCCUCAGCAAGCUGAAGCCUUUUCAAGUCAAGAAUCUGGUGCAGAAUGAAAUUAUGCUCCUGACCUUCAUGAGAUAUCUGCAAGAUAGAACAAGCACUGACGUACACUUUAACAUGCGAAAUUACUGUGAAUUCUCAAACCUAGUCACAGAAGACUGCACCUCUUCCAUAACGGCGGAUGUUCAUUAUCAAGAGAAACUCCAAUUCUGGUAGUCUGAUCAUGUUUUUUUUUAAGUGCGGCUAAAUAAAACUAGACAAUGAAGAUUUACAUACCAUUUUCACAUUGUAUAUUCAAUAGUGCCAAUUACAUUCUCAGCCAAGUUUAAAGAUAACAUAUAAAUAGUUCCUGCAUACCUUGUAUUGUUGACUGCUUCAGAUUCAGCACCUGGAAUCCAGGUGAGAGAAUUUACUGCCGGAAGGCUUUCGGCUCGAGAGCAAGACUGUUCUAGACCAUCCAAGUUUACUGCACUUGAGUCACAAGAAGAGCCACAAGAAUUGGACAAGUCCUUAGCAAGCGGUGACCUGUGUACGAAAAUUCUACAAUCCAUCAAUAUGUAUUGCAUACAUUGCUAAAUCUAGCAGUCGAGUUGGGUUACUGUUGAUUGCAUACAUCAAAUCAUACUAGGAAAACUCAACUGACCUGUGUAACAGCUGAUUGCCCUUUUCUGAUGUUGGGAAGGGAUCAUGUGCAAAGCACUCUCACAGGCACAGCACAUAAACAUCUUGUGAUCCAAACACUGGAUAUAAGCUGGGCGGUAUCUGCACGAAUCACACAAAAUACUGCGCAUAUGCCGGUUAAAGAGUGUGUUUGCCGAAUGGACCUUCGCAUCGCAGGAAAGGCAAAGAUGUGCUGCAUCAGCUUUACAGUACACAACUGGCCUCAAUGCCAAGCAGAAUUCACAAAAUCUCUUUAUUUUCCGUCCUUCAAAACUUUGAAACCCCAAUUCUGCCAAGCCCUAUUGCUGUCACAGAUAACCAACAUUAAAUAUACAAUCUUUCUUGCACGUAUGUGUGUGUGUGUAAACAUACUAUUUGUGAUUUUCCAUUUAGAUCUUAAUAAGAUCAGGGCUUCAUGUUUCUCAGCUUUUACUUUUUAGAUCAGAUACGGAUGGUUGAGAGACAAUUCACCAGUCCUUAUGCACUAACCGAAUGACUAAAUGAUUUCCGAUUUUCGGUGAAUUUUUACAAAGACGAUCUUUGAAUGAGAAUCUAGAAGAUAAAUCCAUCUUAUCGUAUCGUGUGAUUAUACUGUGAUGCGUUCUUAGCAAAGUUUGAAAUUUUAUCAUCAUAUAGAAAUUCAAUUAUAAUUAAAAAAAAAAAAAAAGUAGACAAAAUUCGGAGAAAAAGUACCUCUUUACGUAGAGCGGGUGAAUGAGAGCAUUAAGCUCUUUGUUUUGGAUAUCUUCUACUUCUUCCUCCUUUUAUCACUUUUGAAACUUUAUGGGUCUGACGUGGACAUUUAAAAGCGGAAACUUUUCCAGCGUGGAUUCGGAUACGUGGUUCGUGGCAGUGGGAUCAUCAUCCACGUCAUCCAAUUCCCAUUGACUGAGAGACAAGUGUGACUUCUUACGCGAUCCAUGUGAUCCAAACUCUCACCUGGUUCCGCCGAUGGCUGUUUCAUUUUCUCUAUUUUUUUUUCUUUCGGUUUUUAAUCCACCCCACCAAUUUUAGGGAGAUACUUCAUUUUUUUUUUAUCAAAACAAUAAAUUUAUUAAAUCAAAUGUUAAAUUAGGAAGCUAGCAGGAUUCAAAACUACACCGUAAUGCAAGAACAACACUUCUCUCAAUUAUUUUUCCUUAUAGAUAAAUGAGAAUUUGAACAUGUAAUUUGUUUACGGGUUAAACAUGUAAUUUGAUUACAGGUUAAAUUAUAAUUUACAUGUUAGUAUAAACGACUAGCAUGUACGGAAUCAAACAAUGUCCAAAAAUUUAAUUAUCAAUACACUUGACUUUGCACUGUGAAGAACUUCCACAAGGCAGAAAUGCCCGAUGUUGCAUUAUUGGUUUAAAACACUACGACAGUCACAUCGCUAACAUAGGUAAGUUUUUCUUAUCAUAUCACAAAAAGUUAGGGAAUACUCUCAAUCAGGUCCACUGUCGAAGCUCACAUAAGAUACGUGAAGGGUGUUUUCUUUCCCCCAAGUCCAAGUUCUGUACUUUGAAGCUUGCUUCUAACAUAAUUUCAAAAUAUAAUGGCAUACUAUACAAUUAAAAUGCAGGUACUGCACAAACUAUAAACAUGCACCAAAAGACGACCACCUACGCCCCUUCUAGUCCCCAUCAAAGAUUCAUCAAGGUGACGGUUUUAGUGCAUCUGUCGAAGAAAAAACUGAACUCAAAGAAGCAAUAUUCAAAACACUGCAAGUUAACAAAUAAACAUCCAUAAGUUAACAAAUAAACAUCUAAAACAAAGAUCAAUCGACAGCAGCAGUAACUAAGAAAGUAAAAUGAGGGUGAAUCUAGAUUAAGGUUUUCCUUCCCCAAACAACGCACGCAAAUCAGCUAGAUUCUGUCAACUGCUUCUUUUGCCACAAACAGCACUCAGUUUCUACUUCCUAUAUAUCCAGGGUAGUCCCCUUUCUGAAUGAAUUCGUCAGGGACUACAGCAGCCCUUAGCAGACCCACCUAACUGCUCAAAUGUUGUCAAUUUUUACAACAAAAAACAGGUCUAACACUAAUGGAGAUCAAUACUUCGUCUUUCCAUUCUACAUAGUGAGAAUCUUCAAACUAGUAUAGUAGCUACUUAAAUUGCACGUCUAAAGAAUUUAAUGUGGCAACAUAUUUAUAUCAUUCCCCCAGUUCUGAAGUAAGUAAAACAGGUUCUUGCUCUUAACCACCCCAAACCAUGUCCACCCUUUCAAAUUUAAGCAUAGCCAAGGGGCAAGGCUUCUAAAAAGGUCGUACCCAGGGGCAAGGCUUCUGCUCCUAAUUUUUUUGUUUCCAGUAAAUUUGAUGUAUUUAUACUUCUAUACCUAAAACGCUAAUAUCAUGAGUGUAAGGAUAUACGCUAAAGCCAGAAUGUAAAAAGGGAUACGAGUGAAGAAACGGAUUGCGAAAUCAUGAUUGAUACCAUGUCAUCUUGAGGUAACGUGCACUUCAAUAAUGUCAUUUUCCUCCAUCCCAAGGGCAUCAGGCGUAGCAGCUGGACCUAUUUUGUCACCAUCAAAACAAAACACCAGACUCUGAAGGUCAAGCUUAACAUUAUCUGCAUACAUUUUGAAGAGGCGCUCAAACUUGUCGUCCUGUUGAAGUAGAAGGAAACAUAAUUAAAAAUAUUACAAUGUUUAAUAUCACAUAGCCUGUAUAUACAUCAGAGAUUAGGCCAAAGAGUACUAGACAAACAUUGAAAGUUAAUACUUCUGGCACAACAUACCGCAUAAAUACGAAACUGCUUAACUCCAUCUUUGUCUUGAAUAGAUACAACUAUUUUGUUUCUUUCAGGGCGGGGCUUUGGAGGUUGUUCUUCAACAGCCUCAGAUAAGAUACUAAGUUCUUUUAUCACAGACUCCUCUACCGAUCUCAGCACAUUUUCAGCAGAUUGUGCAUACGAUGCCAGCUCUUUCUUCUUUUUCCUACAUACAUAGACCACAUUUAAUUGGAAAAUUUGAAUUGCAACUGAAAAACCAAAACGAUAAAGGGUAAACCAAUAUCAACAAGCAUACCAAGCCAUCACUAUUUAUGAGACCCAAAUAAAGCCUUAAUGUUCUAAGAUAACCGCCCUCAUUAAACUAUACUUCCUUCAUAACACGAUAAAAGCGUAAAAUUCCAGUUACCAACUGGAAUCUAAUGAACGGGAAAGCGCAUGCACUAGCCACUAAUCUGUCACAAAUUUCUUCUCGAGGGAAAGAUAUAUGUCUUGAUAGAUAUAAUAAUUACAAUAAAAACCCAAAAUUCAAAUACCUCAGUUCCUUUAUGGUAGAAUCCUCACCCUUCCGCUUCGUGCCGGCAGAAACCUUGGGUGGAGGAGGUAACCAGUCCUCCUCUUCCUUAUCUUCACAACUAAUAACACUCACUACCUUCACAGGUUCAUCAACCUUCUCAACCUAACCACAAUAUUAUCCAAAAUAUCAAUGUCAACAGAGACUGCAAUUUACAACAAUUCCUCUUAUCAAAUGGAAUUUAACACACACAGAGCACAUAUGAACUUCAAUAACAAAUUCGGUACCGCGGAAUCCGAAAUUUCCCUCCUUUUCGGAGGAGAAGCUGACGGAGCAUCUAAUUCAUCGUCUAUACAAACAUAUAAACAAAAACAAAAAUCAAAUCAAGUUUUUUUUAUGAAAAAAGUUGAAUAAUUGAAGUUUCCUAUCAACUGAAUCGACUGAAAUUAGCAGGAAAGAGCUCACCGUCGAGGAAAAUUAGAUUGACGGGCUGAACGCGUCUGUAAUCGAAUAAGGGCUCGAGCUCUUCGGAAAAAUCCUCCUGGAAAAUCAGAAAUUGCAGUCAGAUAUGCUUCCGCUGCUGAAUAUAAAAAGUGAAAAUUGAACAAAUUAAAACCCUAAUGAGUAUGGAGUGAGCCUCUCACCAUUGCCGACCCGAAAUCAGACUCUGCGAAAUUUCGAUUCAAUUUAAUUCGAGAGAAUUUUAAGCGUCCCGCCGAAAGAAGAAGCCUAAAAAUCAAACACAGAUUGCAACAGAAAAAGGGAAAGAACAAAAAAUAUCUAACACAGAUCGGGUUAGUAAUUUGUUGUUGGGUUUGGUCCAAGCCUAAUUCCUAACAUGGGCUUCAUUUGGGCUGGGCUUUAUCCAUCAAUCCAAUUACCCAACAUAUCUUAAAAUGAGUCAAUGGUCAAGAUAUACACCAAAAUAUAUACGCGAAGCGGAAGAAAAUAAAUUUGUAUCAUAUCUGCCGUUCAUGAUAUUCAAGUCAAGAAUAUUUCAUUUAAAAGUAAAGAAAAAAUAUCAUUAAAUCGUAAUACUAAGUAGUGAAAACUUAAGGAUUUUAGAGUAAUGACAGGAUUUGAAAAAUCACAGCGACACCUCCCUUAAUCAUUUCUUUAAAGAAUUUCUUAAAAAGAUAAUCAUAAAUUUUUAUUUUGGUAAACUACUUAAGACUACCCAAAUUGUUGAUUUCAAACAAGUCUAGGAAAUUAGAUGACUCGUUGACUAAUAAUGUAUCUAAGUAUCGGGUUUUCGCGUGUUUCGUAUGAAUUUGUUGAGAUCAAAGUUCAAGGAACAGUUUGAAACUAAUCCUAAAGUUCGAAUAAUUUUAGGUCAUUCACCCUUUGCAUUUUUAAUAUGGCAUAUAAUGAGAAGUUUCUUUUGUAAAACAGGAGGUUAUGUUGAAUUAGUAAUAUUUGGAAGUUUUUACAUUUUUACUCCCCAACGGACAACGGACAAGUAGCAAAUCAUCUUGUGUAAUCAAAAUAUAUGAACGUUUAACAAAUUUGAAAAAUCGUUGGAGCGCGGGAGCGCCUACCAAGAGGCUCGAGGCUAGUCCCGUCCGCGCCAAAUGCGCAAGCUUAGUUUAAAUUUUAAUGAAACGAGUUAUUCCUACCAGUCAUGGCUAAACUAAUUGCUCAAAGGUUUCUUUGUUUUUAUUUUAUUUUUUUUGUUUUUAUUUUUAUUUUUGAAGUGUUGAGUAAGCUGACUCUAAUUGAUGUUUAAUUUCCAGAUUUAGUAACAUUAUUUGGCACUCAUGAAUAAUCAGCUUCAGUCGCAGCAUGAUUUUUAAUUUUUUUUUUCCCGCUACAUAGGAAUGGUAAAAACAUGGUAUGCAAAGAUAUAAUUAUUUUUAUUUUUUUCAAAUAAAACUAGUCAAUUCUAAAUAUUGCAAGAAAUUAAGUUAAAAAAAACCUCAUUAAAACCCAAAUAACUAACUCAUGUACUCACCAUUAGAGGAACUCUAUCUUUUUAAAAAAAGUCGGGAUUGGGUUUGACCAAUAUGACACUAUACGGUUAGCCGGUGCUGUGAUAUGACUCUCAAAUAUCCAAAAGAUGUGAAGCGACGACAUGAAUCUUCAUUGUAAUGUUUUCUAUUUUCAAAAAAGAAUAAAAGAAUGAUGUCAAAACUUAAAAGGCAUGAAAAAUAAGAAAAUAAUGAAAAUUUUCUCCUUCAUCUUCUUAUUAUUUUACUUUCAAGUUUUAACCAUGUCACGUUGGUCAACACUCCGUUGACCAGAGUGUAACCAUUUCACUUACAAUUUCACAGUUUCACGACCAUUUCUUCAGUUUUAUAGGUAAAUGUGAGCUCCCCUAACAAACAAUUUCAAUUUUGCUUAAGCACCUCAGAGUGCAUGCUACUGGUAACUCUCAUCUUCUCUCUCUCUCUCUCUCUCUCUCUCUCUCUCUCUCUCUCUCUCUCUCUCUCUCUCUCUCGCUCUCUCUAGGUUAAAGGCUUAAAGCUUCUUAAUCUAUAUCUAAUCCUUUUUUCCAUGACAUAAAUCCCCCUAAUCUGAAUUCUAAAAUAUUUUUCUUUUCUGAUUCAAGCUUCUAAAUCUCAUACUUUCUCUGUUGCACUUAAUCUUGUUCUAAUUGUUUUGAUAUCCAUGGAACACAUGAGCCCUAAAAAGACUAAUGGUCUCCCUAGCUUUGCACAUGACCUCCAAAUCUUGGUGGUAGAUCAUGAUACAUUGUCCCUCAUGUCCACAGCGGCAACGUUAAAAAACAUACUCAUUCAAAGGUAUAUCAUUCCAGAAAUUGCACACACUAAUAUAUGGUGUCAUGCUGAUCUAUGAGAUAUGACUUAUAUGGAUACAAAACUCCACCUAUAUUUUAUGUGUACACAUAUAACGAAUUAACUGAUUUUAGAUGGAAAAUUUGAACUUGUUUGUGUGGAUCUAAAGGUCGAGGCAAUCCAUGAAAACAAAACCAAGAUUCAAGAAUAACAAGGUUAUAUGAUGAACAAUGAGCCAUUAAAUGAUUAAGUAGUUAGGCAAAGAAAACGGUAUAAGAUUUAUCUUGAUUUUGUCUGUUAUGCUGUACAAUUUUUUUUUUGGUCUUUAUAUUGAGCUAAAUCUUUCUUGACAUAAGAUAUGUAUUAAGAUAAAAUGUCUGUUAUCUUUUCUGUUUAUUUGCAUGUGUCAUUUUUGUUACGUUUCUUGUUUCUAUGUGUUUGUAUAAUUUUCUUUGAUAUAUAUAAUUUGUCUGCACAUAAAAGGGCAAUCUCAAGCCAACAAGACUUCAGACUCUGUUAAAGUCGGAGGAAUGUCUAGCCUUACCUUAUUUUGCAAAGAGGUUGUUUACACAAUUCGAACUCAUGACAUUUGGGUCACAAAUGAGCAAAUUUUCGUUUAAAAAAGAAUUAUCUUUAUUUUUCACAACCUGGUUAAUAACUCUCUCUCUCUCGUUGCUCCUCUAGUUACCACAACCGCUCUGGCUUCUGUUGCAUUGUCGAUGAUUCGGGAACAAAAGGAUCAUUAUGAUCUAGUAAUGGCUAACAUCAGUAUGCCAGAUAAACACAGAUUUUCGCUUCUACGGGUGCUGCAUAAGAUCAAGAUUCUUGUCAUAUGUAAGCUUCAAUGUAUCUAGAACUUUUCCUAUUUGGAUCGAUUGGCUUAUGGAAAUUCCUUCUGGUUGUGUACUAAUUGUUGCAUAACUCAUAUUUCAACGCAGUCAUGUCCUCAGAAGUGAAUAUUAAUGUAGCCAAGAAGGCCCUAGCUGAAGAAGCAUGCUUUUUUCUUUAGAAACCAAUCUCCUUAGAUGAUCUGAAAAACGUGUGGCAACACGUUUAUCGGAAGGUAAGAAACCCAAGGAAGGACACACAUAAACCAAAUUAUGCAAAGAAGAUUGAUGAGGCCGGUAAUGUGCUUAGACCUCCCACUGGAGGUAUUAGAAUCCAUGAGGUUCGUGGUGUGUGUAGGCCUACCGCUGUACACGAUUUGCGCAAGACACUCGCUCAUUGAGAUGCAAAUCAGGUAAAGUUAGGAGAGGUGAGGGAAAUCGUCAGAGAGAACUACAGUGCUCUCGCGCUGAACAGCAGAUAGCCACAGAGAACCAUACAAAAGGAGCAUUUGGUAUAAAGAGACCAGUCGAUGAUAAGGAAGAGCAAGAAAAAGCAAAGAAAGUUAAACUAAACGCGAGCAAACUGUUUCUGGAAGUAAAAACAAGGAAGAGGAAGGAAUGGAAAAUAAGGAUUGCAAUGGCAGCUCCGAAGAUAGAAGGUGCCGCACCAUUUGGACUCCGGAACUUCAUCUCAAGUUUACAGCAGCCCUAAGUGCAUUAGGAGAUCAAAGUAAUUGUUCCCUUCUCAUAAAACAAUCUAGUUUUCUUUUUUUUUUAUCUACACCUUUAAGAAGUGCUAAAUUAUUUUUGUUUCUUGUUUUCUUUUGGACACAGAUGCUCGUCCUAAAUCGAUUCUGAAAUGGAUGAAUGUGCCUAAUAUAACGCUGCGCCAGGUUGCAAGCCAUCUACAGGUUUCUCUUCAACUCAUAUCUUAAGAACUUCUUUUCACAUUUGUAAUUGUUUUCAGAAGGAUUUAUGUCAGGUUCUUUUUCCUUCUAGAAAUACAGGAAACAAGUACAAGAAAUUCAGGAGGCUGGCACAACGAGCUUACCUUCAUUAAGUAGACCAUACAGUUGGAAUAGCAGAAAUGAAUUUCCACCAGCAAGGAAAACUUCUCUAAUAUGCCGCCCAUACGAACAAGGGAGUUCAACUUUUGGAGUUCAAGGCAAUCCAGCGCAAUUAACGACUCCGAAUUCUUUCACCAGAGUCAGUGACUACAGAAGCCAGAAUCCGUAUUCAGAACACAAAGUCAUGUCUCACAACACAAAUCAUCAAAGCGAAAGCCUCUUUGACUUUUAUUUGAGAACUCAUGGAAAGUUUCAGAAUUUGGACCAGAUAAUAGAAACAAACAGCUUCACAUUAGGUGCAGGCAUGAAUGAAAUCGAGAAGAGAAACCACCCGCUUGGAUUAGAAGAGACAAGGUUUAAAGUAAGCAAAACAACCUUACCGAGUACGAACUACAUGACUCCAGAGUUUGCUUCUCCCUACAUAUCAGCAAAUACUUUUCAGCUCCCAAAUGCGUCUACCAGCAUGAAUCAAGCGCAGAGUUAUUGUCCAGCAUCGACUGCUCCGUUCCAUGCCCAAAAUCAGAACAAUAGCAGAAGUCACCGGAACAACUGAAGUAGGCAUGAAUCAAGCGGAGCUUUAUACUCCAGCGCCGACCACUUCCAUCAAUUCCCAUAAUCAGAACCACUUUUUUCGCAGAAAUCACGGGAACAACUGAAGUUGGCAUGAACCAAGCACAUUAUUACACUCCAACCCCGACUACCCCUAUCAAUUUCCAAAAUCAGAACCACUUUUCAGCGGAAGUCAGCGGAACAACUGAGGUACUUGAGGUUGGGCCGGAACACAUAGCUUCAGGCAAUGCAGCCAAUGCGGCCAAUGCAGAAACAUUUCCAGCAGACUUCAAUGGUGGAAGCCAGUAGCAAGAGAGGCUUCUCCAGCUAGUUCAAACAAUAACCAACCCAUGUUGGAGUAUGAUGAUCUGUUGAAGCUGCUUGAAGAAGAUCCAGAGGAGUUCAACUGGUUUGACAGUGCACCAAAUGCAGGUGAUGCCAAUGGUUACUGUGAAUUGCUAACGGAAACUUCAAUAUAGCCCGAAUUCACCGUAGUUUAUCAGUUCCAAAUACAGGGUUUCAUUCAAGCAUGCAUUAUAUUUCCCUUCAAGAUGGUAGUAUUAGUUUCCUUUUAAACAAGACUUCCUGUCUGUAUUCCAUAUUUUAUGUUGGUUAUAGUUUGUAUCAAAUCAAAUAUUUGUAGCCAAAUGAGACUUCAUUUCUAUAAUCUGGAAUUUUACCAUACAAUGAGUAAUUUGUACAAAUUAAGCCAAUCAGUUUUUGUAAAAAAACAAAAAAAAACAAAACAAAAUAGUAAAUUGCAUGGGUAGAUGUUCUUAAAAAAAUAAUGCUAGUCUAUAUAUGAUUGCAAGAAAUGAAAAUCUUUUUUUUUUUUUUUUUUUUUUUUUGGAAAACCUCGACGGUACGAGAGUAAUUUUAUUGAUAACGAAAAAACAAGUUACACCUAGUCAAGGGGGACAUAAACCUUACCCCUAAAAAAGGAAUACACUAGAAAGAAGGGGGGACAUAAACUUUACCCUUCUAGAAACAAAAAACGAGAAUGAUACAAAGAAAAAAGGGGGGGACAUGAAACCUAACCCCUCUAGAACCAAACAUGAAGGUCUAAACUUGCAAAACAAGUCAAACAACACCAUAAAGAUAGGAGAAAAAAAAAAGUGAGACAAACCUGAUUGCCCAACAUGCACAUUAAUUUGAGAAGCGGUAACCAGGCAAGCCAACAUAGUCAGAAAACAAAGCAGCACGAACCGCCAUCAGUGGAGAAUUGUGCCAUGUUAAAGAUGGAGAAGACAAGCCCAUGUUAGCAAAAUUGUCCGCAACAAGAUUUCAUUCGUGAUAUAUGUGAGAUGCGUAGAAAGUCAUUUUCCGAAUGCGAUCCAAACAAAUAGACCAUUGCGUAUGAAGAGGCCAAGGAUGAUCAAAAUCAGACGAUUGAAGAGUAGAAAUAACACUAGAACUAUCACUUUCCAACCAAAGACAAUGUCAACCCCGCUGAUAAGCAAACUCAAUACCAAUAAUAAUUGUUGAUAACUCUGCAAAAAAAGAGUUGCAAUGACCAAUCCGUUGACAGAAACCUCCAAGAAAACGACCAUGGCAAUUCCUGAAAACUCCUCCACAUGCAGCAGGACCGGGAUUUCCUUUAGACAAACCAUCGUUUUGGACCGGGAUGAAAAUCAUUGAAUAUACACAAGUUCAUGCUUCAAUGUUUGUUAUAGGACCUUUAAACCAGUGUUGAGCGCUGAGGAUCCAAGCUAAAACUGUGAUGACCAACAAACCGCCAACAGGUUACGGGAGUAUAGUUGAGUGUCUCGUUGGUAACUGGAUAGGCCACGAGGAUUGAGAAGAGGACGGAGAUGGUUGCUACCCAAAUAACUGAAAUUCAACCAACAAAAGCACCCCGUAGUGUCCCAAGUUGAAAGGUCCUGAGACAAAGGAUUUGCGUGUUGGAGUAUGUGGUCAAGUGGCCAACUUUUGGGUAUAAAAAAUUAUAAAGAAAAAACUUUCGGUGAAUAUAAUAGUGAAAGACAAAAUGAUGAGAAUGAGGCAUCAUGAUGAUGUUUUCUUCUUUUGUGGUUUUUUAAAAACCAUAAUUCAUUGUUUUGUUUCGGUAGAAGAGAAGAAAAGGAGAGCUCAUUUUUAGAUGAGAGCAGAAGAGAGAAGAUUGUGCUGCCGAGAGCAAGAGAGUUGCAGAGCCCAAAAAGAAAAAAAAGAAGCUGCUGCUUCAUUUGGUUAGUAAUCAUUCACCAAAGUAAUUGUUGUUGUAAUAGCUUUGAGCUAUAUGUAUAGAGAAUAAAUUAUUCAUUAUAUUUCUUUCUCUAUUUGUUUAUGUAGUGUGUGAGAGCUAUUGGGUGUAUUGGGUUAUUUGGGUUGUGAGAUUGCCAACAUUUUGUAAACUCCCAUUUGGUUGACAGUGGAUUCUUGGGUGAGCUCCUACUGCUCCGAGGACGUACUCCAGUUACACUGACUGUUGAGGAACCUCGUUAAAAUUUUGGUGUCUUUAAUAUUUUGUUCUUGCAUUUUCAUUUGGUAAAUUUCCUGUGGGUUAGCUUAAGUUGGUUCCAACGGGUUUGGUGCUAUCCUAGCACAACAUUGCGUGCCAAGGUCACCCUAAAGAAGAUGGGUAGGGCAUAAACAAUGUACAGUCCGACGGUUGCUAUAGAAACCAUGGCAUUGUAUGCCACAAGGCUUCCGAGAGACUGCAAAGAUAUCGAAACAAACAUGGUUAGCAGUUGCCGAAGAAAGCAGAGAAAAAAUCUUGCUGCAAGUGAUCAUGUGAUUACUGUUAUUUCCAUCCAAAACGAUAUUAAAAUUAUUCAUGUUAUUCCGUAUUUAAAAAUAAAUAAAAACCUUUUAAGUGCAAUAACCACGCCAAGUGAAGCUGAAAGCCAAACAGCGUUUAUGAGGACUUUGGUUUGUAAACUUUAUGCCGAAGUGGUGAAAUUGGCAUGGCUCCAUCUCUAGAGAAUGCAUACGCCAUCCUGAGAACAAAAAUGUAAAAUUUGUUGCCGACUCCCUCCCCAUUAUCAAAAAAAUCACAAAUUUAUACAAUUCCAAACUCUUUUGUUGUUACAACAUCACUGUCUCAAACAGCCCAACUUCCAGACUUCUGAUAAACUGGAAGAAAAGUGAAGUAAAUGAAAUGAAACUAAAUUUAUAUAUGAAUUCGAAUCAGCAGGCAGCUACUUGGCGAGAAGCAGCCAGCCUCUGUGAAUUAUGGUCAAAUGACAAAACAACUUUCGGCUAAAUAAAAUAAACAAAAAAAGGUAGAAAACAUCAUUAUGUUUGUUGAAAAGAUAAAAAGGGUCAUAAUGAUGUUUGUAGAAAAAAGGUAAAGGUUAGCAAGUAGUCUUAUUAUUGGUUUUGUUUUUGGGUGUUUUCUGAUUGAUGAAGGUGUGCAACCGAAUGUGAGAGAAGGAAGAGAACACCAUUUGUUUUAGUAGCCCAUCUUUGAGAGAGCAGCAGAAACGAAGAAGACUGCCUCAUCUCUCAUUGAAAGAGAGCUCAUCUAUUUGGUUAGUAAUCAUCCACCAAAGUAGUUGUUGUUGUAAUAGCUUUGAGCUUUGUAUAGAGAUGAACUUAUUCAUUAUAUUUCUUUCUAUUUGUUUCUUUGGUGUGUGAGAGCUAUUUGGUAUAUUAGGCCUUUGAGUUGUGAGCUUGCCAACACUUUGUAAACUCUCAUUUGAUUGAUAGUGGAUUAUUGGGUAAGUUCCUACUAUUCCGAGAACGUACUCCAGUUAAACUGACUAUUGAGGAAUCUCGUUAAAAUCUUGGUGUCUUUAAUAUUUUGUUCUUGCAUUUCAUUUGAUAUAUUUCAUGUGGGUUAUCAAUAGUUGGUUCCAUAAGGUUUGGUGUUAUCCUAGCACAACAGCCUCUUGUAAAUCUCCAUAACCAAUGUGCUGUCAACUAAUUUGUCACCACAAGAAGCCAUUGUAAUCUGGUCAUGAGGUUUAGCAAUCUUCUUCGCGGCAAUCCUUCCCACACCGCGGCCUUUCCCGCCAUCCGAAUCAUCAUGUCAACGUAACCACUGGCGGAUCCAUUAAGGGGUAAGGAGGUCAGCUGACCUCCGAAUUUGGAUGAACUUCCAUAGGUACCUUAGGUGCUGACCUUUCAAACUUCGAUGAAUGUCCAUGGAUACCUUGAGUGCUGCCCUUUUGAAGAUUAGAGUUGACUUCAUACAUGCCCUCCAACCGACUUCAGGCCUACCAAAACCCGAUGAAUGUCCAUGAAUAUCUUGAGUGCUGCCCCUUGCAUACAUUAACAGGUAUGUAGUAUGCACCAAGACUCGAUGAAAUGAUGAUAUCCAUACUAUUUCUGGUAUAAAAAAAUUUGCAUGCUACGCUCACUAUUCUUACUGACCCCCUAAUAUUAUUUCCUGGAUUCGCCACUGAACGUAACUGUUAUGCAACUUAGCCAAAAAGCUUUAUGGGGGAAACAAACUUCAGCAACCUCAGCUUGGUCUCGAGCUUCCAACUCCGCCUAGGAAUGUUGCUCCCUUUAGAUCCGCCACCGAGCCUCACUACCCUCAUCUUCUUUCUGGUCUCACCAUUCAGCCUCUGGUACCUUCUCCUCCUCCAGUACCUCUUCAAGUUGUCGUAUUAAGUGGUCGAAACAAUCUCCAUUUUAAUUGAUUAAUUUCUAUUAGUACUAGGGUCUGCACUCAGUUUCUUAAUUUGUGUGACUAGAAAUGGCUCGAGAGAGGUGUGUGAAGAGAGGAAGUCAGAGGGGGUUUUAAUUGAGGAGGAGAAGACUUGUGUGCCAAGUCAAAGUGGUAGGCUAGGUCUUACGGUUUCUCCAGGAAUGAAUGAGCUGGCCAUUACAAAAACAAACAAAACAAAAGGGUACAAAAUUAACAUCAACAAAUUCACACCACAUUCCGAUGGAAAAACGGCAUCAACAAUAUUCUCUAGUCAAAUAAUUUUAUAAGCAAAAAAGAAGAUUUGGCACAUAGAACAACAGUUGGUACCUGAAAUUAGCAUGCGUACAGAUUCUGACCAUAACCCCUACAUGUUUAUGUGUUAAGAAGAUUUCGAGUACAACAUUUUCUACCAAAUAGGAUUGAGUUAUAAUUUCAUAGCGGUGGUUUGACUCGCGAAGCAUAAUUAAGUUUUAUUUCUAAUCCAAAUUCCAAAAACAUAAAAAUCAUAGGCACAAAUGUACGAAAAAUUCAACCAAUGUAUUGAGUUUCUGUAAAGGCUUCCACGAGUAUAAACAUUUUACAAUUUCUGUAGAUGUUCAAACUUUUUAAGAAUUAACAGAUAGAAUUAAUCAAAUCUGUGACACUGAAAGCGAAACUAACUACAUAUCCAUCAAGUUGAAGAAGUUGCUUUGGCUUUCAACUAUCAAUCCAUGCUCAGCCAAUUGGCGGGAAGCAGCCAAUCUCUUGUAAAUCUCCAAAACCAGUCUGCUGUCAACUAACUCGUUGCCACAAGUAGCCAUUGAAACCUGAUCUUGGGGUUUUGCGAUCUUCUUCGCGGCAAUCCUCCCGACGCCGCCGGCCUUGCCCGCCAUCCGAAUCGUCAUGUCAACGUAACCAUUAUGCAACUUAGCCAAAAGCUUUAUAGGGGAAACAUACUUCAGCAUCCCCAGCUUGGUCUUGAGCUUCCAACUCCGUUUAGGACUAGUGCUCCCUUUAGCUCCUCCGCCGAGCCUCGCAACCCUCAUCUUCUUUCUGGUCUCGCCAUGCAGCCUCUGGUAGCUUCUCCUCCUCCAGUACCUCUUCAAGCUGUCGUAGUACGUAGUCGGAACAAUCUCCAUAGUAGGAUCGAAUAGCUCGCAGUGGUGUUUACUUCAAAUCGUCGUAGCUAGCAACUGGAACAGACGAACAAGUUGAGAGCUGAUGUUUUUGGGUUUUGAGGUUUGAGAGAGUUGUGUUAGAGAGAGGAAGCAAAGAGGGGUUUAUAUGGAGAGGAGAGGAGGAGAAGAAUUGGGUGCCAAGUCAAAACAUGAGAGCUUGGUCUUAGUGCACAGCGUGUGAUUGGUCAAUAUUGUCUGUCUGUGACAGUGUGACCGCGACCAGGCAAACGCUAAUCUUUGAUGCAAUUGAAUUAAUAAUUAAUUAGGUUUGAUUAAGUAUGCUUCUAGUUACUAAAUUGAGUAAUAAAUCCAAUGCGUGGUAUCAUUUAUAUUAAAUGGUAGUAUUCUCAUGCUUGGCACCUUGGACUGGAUUAAAAAGUCCAAUCCACGAUAAUCCAAUCCAUGGUCUAAUCUCAAAUAAUGCUCCAGACCAUGACUUGAAUAGGACUCUUCCGUACAUACCAAGGAAAGGCGAUUAUUGGAAAUUAACUAGCUUAUUUAGAAGUACUUUUAAAUUAGAUAAACAUGCUUUUAGUAAAAGUGUUUUUGAAAUUAAUUUUUAAAAAAAUACAAGUAAAUCUUAAAAAAAAUAUUAAAAGUGUCAUUUGUAAGAAGCACAUAACUGGUGUUUCUUGCAUAAAGCAUAUAACUAGUGCUUCUUGUAAAAAAACACUUCAAGUACUUUUGUAAUCCAAAAAUAUAUUUUCUAAAAAUACUUUCAAUCAUUUGAAAAGUACUUCCAAACAACACUAAAGUGUGAAAGAUUAUUCCUUAAUCCGGUCUCCCAUUAGAAGAUUGGGGCCCAUCGACGAAAAAAAAAAACUUUAACGAAAAACUUCAGAUAUUGUUUACUUUAACGAAAAAUCAUAUUUUUAUACUAAAAAGUCAAUUCUGGUACUAUUCACUUUAUCUUUUAUUUUGUAUUCAUAGUUAAAACUCAAAAAUUUUAAAUCAUUUUUAUUAGUUUUCUUAAAAAAAAAAAAUCAGGAAUGGCCCACACCAUGCUUCAGGACACGCACACCUGCGUGUUUGGCACGGGUCCAGCGGUAGAAGCUAGAAGGAGAGCAAAGCACAGUUUGUGAUGUGAAGUGUGAAUGUGAAUGUGAAUAGCGUCUGGUGGGCGGGGAGUGUCGACGAUGACAAUACCUGGGCUUUGCUUCUUGAAUCACCCAUAUAUUUCAAACAAACCACAUCCAACAUGUCACAUCACAAUUAUCUUUUAUUUUAGGCUCAUUAUCAAUUAUUUUGAUCAUUUUAUAAAAAAUUCUCUGUUAAAUAAAAAUAAAAAAUAAAAAAACUAAAUUUAAUAAACAAUGACCAAAAUAAUUUCACAAAAGUUGAAGUUAUUUUUGUCUAUUUCAUUUUUAUCUAAUAGAUAUUUUUACGAAAUGGUCAAAAUAAUUGACGAACACUUCUUUCAAUUUUAAAUUUCAAGGACCAGAGAAAGAGUUAUAUCAAUCUCAAUUAAACAAAUCAAUUAAACAAACUUAAGCAAAAAGGAAGGUUCAUAUUUCAUCUGGUUUAUAAAUUCCGAUAUCCGUCUACGAAAUUCACAUGGCAAGAUGGAUCCUAUGAUAUGAACAUCUGCUCAUUAACUCUAUUCUUAUCUACAAACACCCGACACUCUGGUGUCUUCUCCCGUUUUCCCUUCCAUUUAGCAUGGCGUUUCUGUCUCCGCUAUUGCCUCUUGACAAUUCAUCACCGUUCUGAGGUUCGACGUAUACACUCGUAAGCUCUGUUGGCUGCACACUAAGAUUGUUGGCGUUGUUAGUCGAGGACUCCUCACGAUUUUGAGACUCCGCCAGCAUCUGGAAGUAUGCGUGAGGUCCCCAACCUACCCAUCCAACAACAUAAACAGAAAGAAUCUUGUCAACAAUGAUUCCAGACUACUAAAAUGCACACAAGUUCAAAUAAGCUACUUACACGGUUUAAUGAACCGUAGAAAGCUUAGUUUUUCAAUGCAAGAAAAAAUGCUCAUGGACUCAACGGAAUUAGUAAACCUCUACGAAGACGAUAGUUAUAAAAAAGAACAGCAAAGCUAUACGGUGGGUAAAAUUACCAUCUGUGUCGUAUGGAGGUGGAAAGAAUUGCAGGUAACAAAAUGAAGCAAUGGUGAUUCCUGAACAAAAUAAAUAUACAUAUUAGAAAAAUGGAAACUCGACGAACAACUUUUUUCUCAAAAAAUCAUGCCAAUGAUGCUAGAGGCAGACAAGGUACCUAUAAGCCCGCCAGCAAAAACAUCUUGCCAAUGAUGCCAAUAGUCAUCAACUCGAGAAACUGCCACCAGCGCUGCAGUAAGUAGUGGUAAAAUGACAAUACAGAGCUUUGCAACAUGUCCCCUACGAUCAAACACCCUAACUUUUCCCGAUAAGUACCAUGCAAGGAAACCAAGACCUGCAAAGGACCCUGCAUGUUGACAACCGCACUGUCCUUUAAGCUACACGUACGGUACAAAGUCAAACAUACAUAUGCACUAAAGAAAAUAUACAGGCAGCAUGAAGCCCUUAAGAGACAUUAAACACAUCCCAGAACAUCCCUAAUCUUUAAUCCUCUCUCAUGUAGGGUUUCCCGAGGUAUCAAAAUGCUUACAUGAAGUAUGCCCGCUUGGGAAGCUUUUAUGUCCUUCCUUAAUGACACUCUUGAUUCCAGUACAUAUGACAUCCUUUGUGGUCGGAUCAAAUCCCUGGACGUGGACAUGGAUCAAUCGUAUGUCAUAUAUGUGUACAAGUGAGGAGGAUCAAGAACUAAACAAUGAAAAGUUCAUUUCACGAAAAAUCAAAAAGGUAUAAAUAAUUUUAUGCACUAGAAGGCCCACCCCUUUUCCAUCAGGGAAACAACGCCAAAAGAAGUCUGGACGAGGUCGACCAACACCAUCUUUGAUCGCAUCAGUUAAAACAGCGGUUAUGAAGACAGAGAAUAGAAGGCCUGAAUGAGCAUGGAUAUAAAAUGUAAGGGUUAACAAAGUACAACAACAUGCAAACAACAUUCACCAAUGCAAAAGUCACAAAAAGGAAAAAGAAAGAGAGGAUAGCUACCCAAAAUGGCAUGGUGCAGAUCAUAGACAUCCUUUCGGAUGAAGUAGUACACAAGAAUGACAGCAAGCGGCAACAAUACCGCAAUUAUCUGUGCCAGAAGUAUAACAUAAGAUUCUUCUUUUCCUUACGGUGUCAUCACAAAAGCGAGACGAGACCGAUGCAAAAGUUAAAUUAUCAAAAUUUUACCAGCAUGACAUUGUUUUCGCAAAACAAAAACGUACCGGAACAGCCCAGAAGGGAACUGUAUUGUCUUUCAAGGGGUACUUCAGGUCUGUCAUCAUGUCCUCCCCAACAAAGCGGUGAAACGGUUCUAUCAAGUUCAAACCGAGAUCAAUCCCGGCGAGAACCAACAGAAUCAGCCAAUCAUGCAUAUGAAUCCUUACCACCUUAACUCCAUGGGACCUUACAGUGUGGCAACCCAAUUGAACUUCUGGCAUUUUUCACUAACUGGAAAUGAAAAACAAAAAGAAAAACAUUCAUAUCUUAAUCUCACUGACAAUUCAAAUUAAGGGAAAGAAAAAGUUGAAACAAUAAGAUUAAAUUCAACAUUUCCGCUUGAAUGAUAUCGAUCGAGUAUUUCCACUUUAUCUUUCUUCGGGGAAACAAAAGCGACUACAUGGAAAUCUAGUUUCUUUAAUUUUCCUUCAUUUUCUAGGCAACCAAACAGAAAACUUGAAGAAACAAACCACAAUAAGCUACACAGACUCAGUAAACAUUAAAAAUUAAAUGAACAAUUUGAAACAAGAACGUUACAAUGUGCAAAAAAAAAAGUUACAAAAACUAACAGAGAAAGAUAGAGAGGUACAUACAUGCAAUUUCCGUACGACGGAAGCGAGUCUCCGAGCGCGUAAUGGUGAGGGUGGGGAUUUUACGGCGGUGGAGGGAGCAGCAGGGGGAGUAAUUUUUGGGGAAGAAGAACGGGAUGCAGAAAACUUGAAACGGAAAAGCGCGUCAAGUGAAAGAAAAACAACGGAGUUUCCAAUUUUGUUACGGGGAGAGUGGAUCACCGAAUCCUUCUCUGCACAGAAGUAGGUGGAUCUGACGAACAAAGAAGAAGAAGAAUAAUUAAAAUUUUGGAAUUUGGAAUUUGAAUUUGAGUUGGGGGAUUUUGGAUUAAAUUAAUUAUCCUAUUUUUAGAUAUUUACAAAAAGUGUGAAAUCGCGGCGCGUUGCUGAGUGCUGAUUGCUUGCAGUGUUCGGUGGGCACAGCGACCCAAAACUUAGAGCAUAAUUUGAUCAAAAAUAAUCACAAUUAAUUGUGAUUUAGUUGUAUGAUUUAUCCGAACGAAAUGAUUAACAAUAUGCUUAGGCGUCAAUUCAGCUCCAUAACUUGCAGUGCAGAAGAAACCAUCCAGGCUUGAACUUGGCGAAGCUUUUGUAACUCGAGCAAUUUAAAACAUCAAUUUUCAACUCAAAGUCUUUUUAAAUUUUAUAAAAUUUACAGCUCAAAUAAUUAAAAAUGCUUAGUAUUAACUUAAUAUCAUGCGUUCAAAUCUCACGGCGCUCGGAGGUUAGUUGCAGGCAUAUUGGAUACAAAAUUCCAAAAGGAAACGUCUUUUUUUAAGAGAUGCUGUUUUCGGGGCUUAAUUGUUGUUCCAUUCCAAUUUCCGUGUGUAGUACAAAUUAUAACCACAAAACUGUGAUUCUCUGUAUUCUUUUCUUGUUCAACGUGCAUGCGUUUUUCUACUUUUAUAUCUUUUCAAAAAAAUUAACCGUUGAAGGAAAGAGAGUAGGUGGCAACACACCAUUUGUGGAGGAGUUUAAGAUAAUCAAGAUUAAGUUAAUUAUAUUAGAAGACAACCUAGUUAAGCAAGAUUAAUUAUUCAAAAUUGGAGACGUUAUUGGCCAGUGGUUCAACGGCUCAGAAAGCAACUCAAAUGUUUACAAUAAUUUAAUCCAAUCAGCGCGUGCCGACCAGCAUGGAGUCAAGGUCCCACAGGAUAUACCUGUCCCAGUACACAGAUUCAUCCUUGGACCUUGAGGUAAACCUGUCCCAGUAAAUCCGAUUUGUAUCCUCUCCUGAGCAGACUGUUCGAAUCCUGCUGACCAAACAACACGGUUAGAUCAAAAUUCAACGGUUACAAACAUGAAACCCUUUAAAAGUUAUAAUAAUUGUAGCUUUUAAAUUUUGAUCCAACAGUCCGUGUUGCUUGGUCAGUAGGAUUCAGACCCUCUGCUCAGGAGAGGAUCCAAAUCCCAGUAAAUCUACCUCAAUCUGUCAGGUACACGAUUUCGUAGAAUCUACGGAUUACUUCCCAGAUAUCGUAUUAUCCUUUAAUAACAACAACAGAGUUUUUUCCCACAAAGUAGGGUCAGCUAUAUGAAUCCUAGAACACAAUUGCCCUCCGUUCUGUCACGUCUUCCGUAGAUACCGUAUUAUACUCUAUUUUUCAUAUUUUUACUUACGUGAUGGAAAAUAAAUCUUUAUUUUUAGUAACAACUGGAUCAGAAAAAAAAAUUAAGAGUUUGAUCAACGGAAGCAAUGUUAGGCCAACUAAACUUUCAUAAAUUCAUCAUUAGCAAACUAGACUAUCUGUAUAUGGUACUAAAAACUAAUUAACCUGUCUACGCAAGGUGUCUUAAACCGGUAUCUACACGAGCACAGGCAAUAUGCGGAGUACCUAGACGAAGCGCGGCAUGUACAUUACUACCUUCCGCCUGAUUCCAUUUCAUGCAGCCUAAUGCUUGUGUAUCGGUUUCCAGAGAAUGCUGUAAAUGCAUCGCUAUUCUGUAUGUGUUGUUCGUCCACAUUCCGAGCCCCCGUCACCUGCACACUCGGUGCAUUGUUCGUAGGAUUAACACCCAGAUGUGAAAGGAUACGCGUCUCCUCCAAAGCGGAGAAAUACGCAUAAGGACCCCAUCCUGAAUACGUCAAAGAAAUAGUAAGGAAACUGAGAAACAGAAACAACUAACAAACUGUGGCGACGGUAUUUUGUGGAAGUAUACAGGAAAAAUGAGGAACAGAUAGAAGAUGUGACCUUGAUCAUGAUAAGGGGAAGGGAAGAAUUGCCGGUAACAAAAUGAAGCCACAACAAGUCCUGCAGAAUAUGAACCGCGUAUAAAGCUCUCACAUCCUUACAUUAGAGCGUUAACUAAAGAAAAGAGAUCGUGAAGAUCAGACCUAAGAGACCUCCAGCAAACACAUCUUGCCAAUGGUGCCAAUAGUCAUCUACUCUUGAAAUGGCAACGAGAGACGCAGCAAGCAGAGGAAGCAAGACAAUACAUAGCUUUGCAACGUGCCCUUUGCGAUCAAAUGCUUUAAUCUUCCCGCACAAGUACAACGAGAGAAAUCCUAAACCUGCAAAGGACCCUGCAGAGCAAUGCCAAGAUGUAUCAGUUGUAUGGAUUGGACAUGCAUGAUGAAAUUUGAAAACUCAACGGAUCUAGUAGACUUAAACAGCGUAACAGCAGGAAGCAUUUCUUACAUGAAGAGUGACCACUUGGAAAACUCUUAUGUCCUUCCUUUAUGUCACUGUCCUUACCAUGGCACACUACACCCCCAAGCUGAUCAUAAACCUACACAAAGCGAAGAGAUAUUUAAGCAUCAAAUUUUACUCGAUACGGAGCAGAUUCCAUAUCACAUUACAACAAAUUUUCCACCAGGACAUUAAAAGAUAGAUAAGGAUAUGGAGCCAAUUAAAACAUACAUCUUUUCCAUCGGGAAAGCAACGCCAAAAGAAGUCUGGUCGAGGCCGGCCAACAGCAUUUUUUAUUGCAUCCGUGAUAACACCAGUAAUCAGCACGGCGAACAAGAGGCCUGCUCUUGCAGAUAGAUAUAUAACCAAAUUAAUGCACAGAACAAUAAACAAACAAAAGGUUCCGAGUUUGAUAAAAACUAAGCAAACAGGAAAAGAAAUGCAUUACCUAGAAUGCUAUGGUGCAGAUCAUGGACAUCUUUCCGACGCAUAUAGAAAAAGAGGAAAAUCACAACAGGCAACAAAACCGAGUACAUCUGAAGACAUCCCGUUAACUUUAGUACUGCUUACAUCAAAUCCAUACAAUCCAACAACCAAAUGCACAUUGAUCAAAAUGGAAUUAGACUAAAAGAAGCAGCGAAAAACGUACAGGGACAGCCCACACAGGCACCGUGUUCGCUUUCAUGGGAUAUCUAAGGUCUUCCAUCAUAUCCUUCCCCACGAAACGGUAGAACGGAUAAAUGAUGUACAAAAUGAGCUCUGUCACUGCAAGGAGCAGCAGUAUAAGCCAAUCGUACAUGUGGUUCUUUGCAAGUGCAGCUCCAUGGGAUUUAAUCGUGUACCUUCUUCCCAGUUCGAUCUCCGGGGUUCUUCCCUGCUCGCACAAAUACACUAAAUCACUUCCCAACAGAAACACAUUAGGAAAGAGAUAAAAUUCGAUUUGGCUUGAUUUGGUUUGAGCUUUGAAGUAAAAGAUGUCUCCAAAUCUUCAACAAACGAACAAAAAGAAUCCAAAAGCUUACUGCUUUAUGCGUCACAGUUUGAAGCUAACACAAAUUAAUCUUCCAAAAGAUAAAAACUUGGUAACAGUUUAAUCUCAAUCAUGUAUGAUAAUAAAUAACACUUAAUAAAGCAAUAACAAAUUCAAAAAGCAAGAAAAGCAAAAUUAAUCUACCAACCUGAAGGAUACCCCGGAAGUUAAAAAGAGAUCCCAGAUUCCUCCACGCCAUAACCAACAGAACCCAGAAAAUCUACAGGGAAAGUUGUCAAUUUUCGAACUUUCAGACGCAGAAAACAAACCCCAAGUGAACAAACACAACAGAACAGAGGAGGGUAUAGAAACUCACAAACAGGAAAGCAAAAAAAAGAAAAAGAUGUGUCAGCAACUUGGUCCGCGUCUAUUACCUUAAUACAAGAAGACUUCAAAUUUUUUCCAGAAAAAUGUGAGAACUUUCGCGGAAAUUUUCGGCUUGCUGCAAACUGUAUAGACUUUUUUUUUGGGGAAACUAAGAGUUACUAUGAACUUUGGAAAGAAAAGAAAGACCUUUGUGUGGACUUUUACCGGCGUAUAAAUGAUCCGGCCGUGUGGGCGCCCAUUUUGUAGUUUUUGGGUGCUACGGCGUCGUUUUUGGUGACUGCUUCCAUGCGGUAGGGAGCAUCGUGGGUGACAGCUGUGCUUGUAACAUGGGCUUUUUUGAUGGAUGGGUAACUGGCGGAAUGGAGGUAGUUGGUAGGACGGUUACCGUCAGUUGGCGGGGCUAUUGGUCCAUUCACCUCACAACUGUAAGUAAAAGCGACUUGCCGUUUUAAUUUUUCUUCAAUUUUAUUUUAAUUUUUCUUCCUUUUUUUUUGUUUGUUUUUGUUUUGUUGAGCUUGUGGUUCGGACUUUACGUUGAGUAAUGAGUUUCUUGACUUCAACAUUUGCCGAACCUUUAAUUAAUUUAAUUUUUUAAAUGGGAAUUAUCAGACGGUUUCGCCACUACAAUCCACUCUCCACUAACCAAUCAUGUUAUUCCAGCAAAUAUUAGGCACCUACAACUAGUCUCUCCAUUAGGGUUUAGGGUUUAAGCUGGGAGACAAAUCAAACUGUUUGGGCCGAAUAAGGCUUUCGGAUGUUUUGCAUGGGCUAUGGGCUAUAAGUGCAGGACCAGAUAGUAUGGGCCUGCGAACAACUGCACACUGCAGCCCAAUUUUUUUUUAUUAAAUAAAGUCCAUGAUGCAAACGUUAGCAAAGAAAAAAGUCCAUUCUGCAAUUAUGAUUUUAUUUUAUUAAACCAAACAAUAUUCUAAUUUAGUAUGAAGCAGAGAGAAAUUUGGAUUAUAGCCAGUCGGUUUCCGGUGGGAAGAGGGAUCCAAAUUUGGGCCGUUACAGUGACGUCCUAGACUAAUAACUUAAAUACAGUACUUGAGUUCAUCGCACAAGGUGUUUAAAUUAGUUGAAAUGUAUUAGUCUAGAACGUCAUAAAAAUUUUGUUUCCGUCAUAGUUAUUUUCCACGUACAAGAAGAGAAGACACUAAUGCAAUUAGGAACUAGAGAUAUGACAUGGAAAUAGAAUGACGUCAUGACUGGCCAUACUAUGACGUCAAUAAACCUCCACAGUCAAUAUAAACCUGUGUGGAAAGGAAAGUGAAAUUGCUAGUGAGUGUUUAGGAAAGAAAAGAAAAGAAAAAGCAGGAGGAAGGGUUCCAAGUUUCCAACUUCCAAAAUCCAACCUGGAAAUCGAGGUGGCACUUUCCAUGUGUAAACGUUGACGACAAACUGAAGACACAGAAUCACAGAAUGCUUGCCUCUAUAGUCUUAGUCUCAUCUGUGGUGAAUGCUGACGAGGCUGUUGAGCACUUGAGCAUGCACUCCAAAAUGAAAAGGGAUACUUUUCGGAUCCUUUCCUUAUAAUCUAGCAAAUCAGGAAAUUCAUGCUGUUGAAAUUUGAUCUAAUGGUUAAAGUUAUUAUAACUUUUAAAGUUGAUCCAUGUUUGUAGCUGUUAAAUUAAAUUUUUACGAUACAGAUUCCCUGAUUUGGUGGAUUAUGAGGAAUGGAUCCAAGGAGGAUCCCUUUCCCUCCAAAAUAUCCCAAAAGGGAUUUCACUACCGCACAUGCGGCCAACGCUAGCACAACCAAGGUAUUAAAUAUCGGUAAUAUCGGAAAUAUCGGUAGUCCGAAAACACAGAAAUAUCGAUGGAAAUAUCGGGAUAAUAUCGAUAUCGAUAAAAAUUACAUGGAAACCACGGAAAUUGUAAGAAAAACUUGGAAAUUUUUAUUGAAACUUUGCAGGAUGUUUAUUUAGUCAAUUAUCUAUUAGUUUAUCACAAAAAAAUUGGAAGGAAAUGCAUUGCAUCAUGGAUUUAACAUUAUCAAGUUGAUUAUAUAGCGAGCUGACAAACAUUGUGAGUGUAGAAAAUAUGUAGUAAUUAAUGAAAGAAGUCUAAACACACCAUAAUCAUUUAUAUUAAUGAAUUAGUACAUAUAUUUACACUUUAUAAAUUGCAUGGUAAGAUACAUGAGUACUUUAGUACCACAUAGAGUUCCUAUGAGGUAAAUUAUAUAGUUGUUAAAAAUAAAUAUAAAAGUUAAAAACAUAAAAAUAAAAAAAAAAAAAAUUUAUGACUUUAUCUUUAACAAGUUUUAUAAAGUAAUCAUAAAGUAAUCCAAGUUAAAAGUAAUUUUAGUUUAGAAGGGUCACAUCUUCGAAUAAGGCCUUAAUGUAAAACCCCUCCCUUUAGUUUAUAAUUUUACUUUCUAGGUUUUUAUUUUUUAUUUUUUUAAAAAAAUUAUUGUUUUUGGAUCUUAAUUAGCGAUCCCAGGGGUCCACCCCCUUAUUUUUGUCCCCGAGGCUCUCAUCUCUCUUCUCUCUCAGUCCUCUUUCUCUCCACUUUCCCAUGCUCUCCCUCUCUCUGCAACUCUCAUUCCUUCUUCGGUUCUUCCCCGAACUCACACGCACACACACCAGCACUCUCUCAUCUCCCUCGUUCUUCUUCUCCCUCUGCUAGUGCAGACAAGGAUGGUAGCACCAUGGAAACCGGUGCAAAAGUUUGGAGAAAACCAAAACCCAGUUUCCGGUGUGGACCGUGGGUUCCAAGGCGAAACUCCAUCGAGCUCUGACCAUGGCAUGCCUUGAAAAUGGUAUAGAUCUCUUCCUCUUCCCUUGGGCUUCAUUUUCAUACCUAGAUCAGAGUAUAGGGGCUGUUUUACAGUCGGCCGGAGCUAUAGAAGCUCCGGCGUUCGUCUCCGACUUGCACAGUUCCAAAAUAUUGCGAUAAUAUCGAUAAUAUCGCGAUAUUUUGACGAAAACCAUUUGGAUACCUAUUAAAAUAUCGGUUCGGCGAAAAACCGAUAAUAUCGGCGAUAUAUCGCCGAUAUUAUCGGCAUUUUGUUCCUUGAGCACAACUAUAAGCAAUAAUAAGUACAAGACUUAAUGUCCUAGUUUCAUGCACUCACAUAUGAUUUGUUCUACCACAUCUCAUCUAAGUAGCCUUCAUAUAAUAAAUUACUUAACACGUCUUGGUUAUGACUUACUUUUUAUUCAUGCCAAAUUACUUAUUACAUCUCAAUUGCAAAUGACAAUCUUUUAUUCAUACGAAACCAGGUGAAAACAAUUCAUCCAAAAAGUCUCGACGUGAUGAAUUACUUUACUUGUUACGUUUUAAAUACAACUUACUUUUUAUCUAGAUCGCGUGUCGCAUUGUUCACAAUAAAAAGUAACAAUCAAUCAACGAAAAUCAUCUUCUUAUUAAAAAGAAGUCCAAGCUCAGAGCAAUGAUACGCAAUAUUUAGGUAAACAAUAUUCCCCCAUGAGAGGUUUGCCUAAACGCCAAAAGGACCCAAAUUUUGCCACCUUUAUUUUUGCGUCUAACACCUAAAUUAUUAGUCUACCUUAUCCCUUGGAAAUUAAGCAUAAACAAAAUGGGAAAAAUACAAAAGCCCCAUGAGUAGGUGGUUUCAUGCUAAAAUCUAGUGUAUGUCUUGUGCCGUUUGAAAUAUUAUCCGCCUCCAACUUUACCUUCCCCUACAUCAAUAAUGUAACCUUCUAAUUUGUAAACAAAAAGUUGUGGCCCCCUACCUAACUGUUGUUGGAGGCAUUUUUGCUCGACACCCUCAAAAUAUACAUAUCUCGAAAUUCAAACUCAUCUAGAGGUGAAAAAUAAAGUGUGAACAUCAUCAUCGCUUAAGAGUGGUGAGCACUGUCACUUAGUACUAUGAUCUAGUGGUAUUCAUCUCCACUACACAGAUCUUGAAAUUCAAACUCAUAUAAAGGUAAUAAAUAAAGUGUGAACAUCAUCAUCGCUUAUGAGUGGUAAGCAAUGUCACUUAGUAAUAUGAUCUAGUGGUAUUCCUUUUCACUUGUAGUAAGAAGUCUUAGGUUCGAUUCUCACCCAGGCUAAUUUGAACCACAUUAUUGCUACAAAUUGUGGUGUUUUAGCCCACUCCCCCACCUGUUAGUGUAGAUAAUAUCAUUUGUUAAAAAAAAAUGGUGAGCAAUAAUUAUCCCCAUUACUACUAUUAGCUUAUUCAAUAUGGUUGUAUGGUAGGUUUGGUUAAAUUUCUAAUCCGUGUUCUUUAUCAAAUACCAUGUUAGAAUAUAAACAUCUAAUUUUAAAAGUUAAUAAUGAAUCAAUUUUACGGGGGUGUGAAAAAUUGUCUCAUCUUAUAAAGGUAUGAAACCUUAAAAAAAUGAAAAGAAACUUAUAAGAAAUCGCACUAUUUAUAUAUUAUCAAUCCGUUUUUAGAUUACGACAUCAAGAUACUUUCAGAUUUAAGACGUUUGUUAGUUUAACUGUUAUUAUAUUUUGGUUUGGAACAAGUCCGCAAAAGUCAUUUGUGAAGCUUUCCAGUUCAAGUUUGUGCAUUAUAUUUAUUUUUCUAACACCCACGAUCAUAAGAGUUCCAAUCUUGCUAUCUUCAUUUUAGAUUAAGAAAAUUGCUUCCAUUAUCUUAUAAAAAAAUAAUAAUAAAUUAAGAUGGGUAGUGUUAUUAUAUUUAUAUGGGUAGGCUGGAGAGCGGUGCGAUGCGCCACAUUAUCCACACUAAUAUGUCACAUUUCAUGCUAUAAAUUGUUCUAGAUGAUAUUAUUCUCCUUGUAUAUGUAAAGAUUUACUUCUUUUCACACGACAACGUGUCAUUACUUAUACAUGUAAACGUUGGUAUUCAAAUGUUUAUUUCUUUAUCAUCAAUUUUAAAUAUUAUAUUUUAAAAAUUAUUUAAUUAAAGUCUUUUCUAAUGUAUCAAACAAAUUAACAAUUAUACUAACAAGUAAUAUUGUUACCGUCGCCUGUCAAGCUGUUUGAUACAUAUAAAUUACUAUCAAUCUGUGAAUAAAGUAAUAUUUUUCAUCAAAAUAUUACUGUUUGAUACGUGGGACGAGAUGGAACGGAGUGGGAUGAGGCGUUCCAUCCCACGUUUGUGCGCCUAAAACUAGUGGAACGCACUGUACGAAUUUUGGGUGAAUUUUCGUUCCGCCUCACCCCCAGGAACGACUCGCUCCACAUCCGUGGAACAUAAAAUUAUAACCUCUCCGUCUCCUUCUUCUUCCUCUUUGUUUCCAUCCGAAUGCAUCUUUACUCCCUCUCCAUUCCGUCUCGCCCUGUCUCGUCCCGUCCCAUUCCAUUCCGUUCCAUCUGCAUAUCAAACGAUACCUUAAGGAAUGUGACAUCGUCGUACGAGAAGUAAAAUAACCUCCCUUGUCAAAACAACAUGGUAUGGUUCUAAACCCUGGAUAAGGAUUGUCUGCCCUUCCACUUCCAGUGCCUUCCCGUGCCCUCCUAUUUGUGUGGUAACGGUUAAGCGACGUCAACAUUUUAUGUUACUAUUCAUUUUUGUCUUAUUAUUUUUAUAAAAAAAUAAUAUAAAAUGUUGACGUAACUUAACAAUAACCACAUAAAACAAGAGGGCACCGGAAGUAGAGGGCAGACAACUCUUGUCCCUAGACCCUCAUGGGUUACAUCAUCAAAGAGGGAUUUCACUCAAGGUGGGUCCCUCUUAUUCUUAACUGAAUCCGGCUAAAGUAAGCCAAGCUAAAGAAUUCUAGUAGAAUUGUAGGGGGAAUAUUCCUUUAUGCUUCACAAUUUGUAUAAAAAAAAGGGAAAAGGAUAUGGCGGAAAUCUUAGGGAUUCCGUGAUCGUAAUCGUAAUCGUAAUCGUUCAUCGUAUAUCGUGCGGUCAGUUUUUGUUAGGUACUAUUUAUAUUUAAUUUUAAAAUUUAGACCGCACGAUCACGAGAUCGUAGGAUCCUAGGAAAUGGAUCCGGCAAUGAUCAUUUUCCAAAAAAAGGGCUUAAAUGUUAAAAUGAUUAGUCCUUAUAUUUAUCUUCGUUAGUCAGCUAAGGACUUUUUCAUCUAAUUUUUUUAUUUUUUAUCAAUUAUUAUAAAUUAAAAGAAAAAUUAUUCUUCUGCCAACUCUUCGACCUCCUUCCUAACAUUACUCCUUAUCUUUUUUAUGUCACAACCUUAAUCAUUUUUCAGAUUCAAAGUUUUAUUUCUUAUAUGUGUUGUUUCUCAUUGAUUUGCAUUUUUAUGUAAAGAUAAAUGAUAAUUAUUUAUCAUAUGAUUUUUCUUAUGAAUUUUUUAAAAUAAAUUGAAUAAAAUGUCCUUAAUUGGAUAGCAGAGACAAACACAAACUAAAAUGGCCAUAUAACUAUAACAUAUGGACCAUUUUGAUAUUUAAGCAAAAAAAAAAACAAUUAAAAGAAAAAAACAACUUAUAGGGUUAAUAUUCAACGGACAAGGAUUGUCUGCCCUCCACUUCCGGUGCCCUCCCGUGCCCUCAUGUUUUGUGUGAUCACGGUUAAGCCACGUCAACAUUUUAUAUUGUUUUUUUAUAGAUAUAAUAAGACAAAAAAUAAAUAGUAAUAUAAAAUAUUGACGUGGUUUAACCGUGACCACAUAAAUAGAAGGGCACGGAGAGGGCACUGGAAGUGGAGGGCAGACAAUCCUUGUCCAUAUUCAACAUGUGUAGUGUGUGGACUAUAUCUAAAUAGAGUCAAUAGACCAGUCAUUUUACUACAUAUAGUCCUUUGGUAGGAUAAAUUUGACCCCCGGAUUGGUACAUAAAGUCUACCAAAAUAAUUUAGUAGUGUAUGAUUUAGAAUUUGACUGGAAAUAGUAUGCCUAUCCUCAAUUAUACAAGGCUAAGAAAAGAAGAAAUGUGCAACGUCAACUACAUCAUGACUCAUGAAGGUGGGAUUAAGAUAUGAAUUUCAUUUUCAUUACUCAUACUCUACCUUGUCUUUAUUGACAAGUUAUUGUUGUUAAUCAUUAUUGUAUUUUCUGGAAAAAUUCUUCCACUUCUUCUUGAGAAUAUGAGAAGGAAAAAUGAAUGGAUGAUCGCCGAUACAUGUAUAAUUGCUCUUUAAACGUCUGAUUGCAAAAAUUUUAAGUUAUUCGAUUUUAAAUUUGUUUAAAUUUCAUUAAACCCGACUAAAGUCAAUGAUUCAAAAAAUUGAUUUCCUUGCUUUUGAAAAUUGUGCGUUUGUAAAACAAAUGAGGUGGUUCAGUAGAUCUUGUGCGUUUGUAAAACAAAUGAGGUGGUUCAGUAGAUCAUACGGUGUUUGUAACGUCUUGACAAUGAAGGGAGCAAAAGUUUAUCCUUGUAAAAGAUAAGAAAGGAUUGAUUCUUUUUCAGGAUUAGAUUGAAAAUAUGAGUUUAAAUAUUCAAUCAUAUGUAUUUUUGAAAGAGAUGAAAUAUUAUUGGAUAAUAAUAUAAAAUAUUCGCUACAAUUAGUUACUGGAACUUCCCAUCAAUUCUUUGAUUAAGGAUUAACCAUUGAUUAGAUUAUUAACAAAUAAGAAUACCGAAUAUUUUGAAGGAAUUUACCAUUUUAGUAGAACAAAUCACGCUUUUUGCUAAACUUGGAGGGGUAAAACGCAAGCAAAAAGCUUGAUGUGUAGACCCGGGAGCACCAGAUUCUAACAGGCAAACAUGUAAACUCCCUCUGGCAAUUGCAAAACGUCGUCACUUUACAGCAGGGAGUCCUCAUGGCUGCCCUUGGUAAAGUGAACCCUCACGUUUCUCAGCCACGCCUGCAAAUAAUACAAGGUUUUGCCAGCUGACGGCCAAUCCCAGCAAGCGUUAUGGCGCGUGCAACAAGGAUGAGCGUGGUUCUCUGAUUUCGGCCGAUCAGUUAUCGUUUUCAAGUAAGAAAAAGUGAGCAUUGAUUACGUCACCCGUGGGUGGUGCGUUACGAGAUUUGCAUUUAAUUUAAUUUCUUAAUCACUUCCUAAUCGGAAUUAAGCCCGGGAUAAUUCAAGGCUUCAAAUACGCGUUUAAUACACUUGUUUGCUUUUGUGAAUUGUGACUUUGUGUAAAAGGGAGCCACAAAAAAGUUUCAAAAGAUUCUAUUUGUGCAAUUGCGAAUAAUUUAAGUUUACGGCGUAAAUAAUUUGCUUUUCCAAAUAUGAUUCAAUCCAUAUCAGUUGAGGAUUGAUAUAAAAGCAUUUUCUGCCCACUAUGUUGUUGCUGAGGUUUUAAGUUUGAAUUACAUAACCAGUCAAUUAGACACAUUUGUCUGGUGGUCUAUUAAGUUGUGAUAAAAAUUUGGUACGAUCAUUGCACCACUAUGCAAUGUUAUAAUUUAAGAAAAACUAAUGAAAAUGACUUGAAAAUUUUGAGUUUUAACGAUAAUUACAAAAUAAAAGGUAAAGUGAAUAGUACCAUGAUUGACUUUUUAGUGUAAAAAUAUGGUUUUUCGUUAAAGUGAACAGUAUAUGAGUUUUUCAUUAAAGUUAUCUCUUGUGUUAUAAAUCAUACUUUAUUUAUUUAUUAACACGAUAAUACCUAAAAUACAAUGACAACUGAUAAUACUAUGUGACGGUCGUCUCUACAUAAAUUUCUAAUUGGCUAUUGUUGUCAAAAGGGCGUAACUAUUCAUUUUGUGCAUUCAUAAUCAUUUUAGAGCAAGCUCAACUGCUUUUCGCCAAAACGAUUUUGAACCACAUUAUUACUAGUUUAUUUUGAGGCUUAAACUAUUUUCUCGCGCCCUUAGCAUAUAUAAAGUCGUUUGUUUAAAAAAUGGAAAUAGUCAAGGGCUAUGGGAUUGGACAUUCAAUAUGAUUUUCAUAGGACUACUGUGAGUUUGGGUGCAGCAGAUCCCACAAAGAGCUUCCUACUUAUCGACAAGAGAUUUUUCAGAGUGAUUAGCACACGAAAUGAUACAUCACGUGUCACUAUAUAAUGAUGGGAUAUGUGUAUUAAAAAAUUAAUAACUUAAAAAAUAAAAUUUUUCACUACUUAAAUAAAAACACAAAAUUUACAAUUUGUGUCCUCGUCAUAAUUAAAAAAAUUUCCUCAUCGACCCCAACCAAAGCCAAUCAGUUUACUAGCUGUCAACCCAUCUGGACUAGUACACAGUUUCAUUUCCAGCUUGGCCUUUUCCCCACAAUUCCCUCCCUCUUUCCCUCCUCCCCAUAAAAAAGUUCACAAUUUUAUUAUUACCUAACAUUUUUAAUCCAAAUAAUCAACCCAAAACCCCCUUUUAGUACAUUUACCAAACAAAUUAAACUAAAUUAAUGUUUAAAAAAUAGAGGAAAUAUAAAAAAAUUAAAAUUAAAAAAGAAAAAGCAAACAGCUGGAAUAUUGAGGAGAGGAGAGCAGACCAGGUGUGGAGUAACUAUAAGAGCAUCCACUCACCAUUCGUCAGCCCCUCUUUUUCUCUCUCCUCUCUUCCCCCGCCCCCAAAAGGAGAAGAAGAAGAGUGAAAUUCUAAACCACCACCACCCACCAAAAAACCCCCCCACAAUACUCUCUCACUCACUCCACUCAUCAGCCGCUAUGGACCCACCACCAGCGGCGCCCCCGCUGCAAUCCCACAACCUCAACUACGCCGACUCCCUCGACUCUUCCCCUCGCUCCCGCAACACCGACUCAUGGGACGAGCCUCAACCCCCCACCACCAGGCUCCGCCUUAUGUGCAGCUACGGCGGCCACAUCGUCCCCCGCCCCCACGACAAGUCGCUAUGCUACGUCGGAGGCGACACCCGAAUCGUCGUCGUCGACCGCCAGACCUCCCUCUCCGACCUCUCCAACCGCCUCUCCAAGACCCUCCUCAACGGCCGACCCUUCACCCUCAAGUACCAGCUCCCCAGCGAGGACCUCGACUCCUUAAUCUCCCUCACCACCGACGAGGACCUCGACAACAUGAUCGACGAGUACGACCGCACGGCCAACCACAGCGGCGCUUCGUCCAAACCCUCGCGCCUCCGUCUCUUUCUCUUCCCCCUGAAGCCCGAGUCGUCGCAAUCGAUGGGGCCUAUUCUCGAUAUUUCAGCCAAUAAGUCCGAGGACUGGUUCUUGAACGCGCUCAAUGGCGCGUCCGGUAUGCUCAAUCGGGGCUUCUCCGACUCCGCCUCCGUUAACUGCUUGCUGGGUCUCGACGACGAUUCGAUUUCCGGCGGUGCUGCCAAUAAUUUGGAAUCCGGUUCGAGAGACGUGGAGGCUUCGGUUCCUGCGAAUGGCAAGAAUGCCAAACAGGGCGGGGGUGUCGGCGGUGGGAACGGGCAGGACGUUCAAUCUGUCCCCGAUUCGCCGAUGCUUGAGAACUCCUCGUCGUUUGGGUCCACGUCAUCGUCGCCAUCGCUUGCGAACUUGCCACCGAUUCGGGUCCACGUGGAAGAUGGCGGCGGCGGUGGAGGUGGAGGCGGGAUUGGAGUGCAGGAUCAGAAGAUGGGGAUUGAAGAGCAGUUCGCUCAGAUGACUGUUGGUGGUGGUGUUGGGCAGAAGCAAGACGACGGUGCCUUCGCGGUCCUUUCAUCACCUCCUCCGAUGCCCACUACCAUCGUGGCAUCCGCCGCGCCGCUGAGCACGGCCACCAAUUACUUGAAUCGCGUAGUUUCGGACGAUGAGCGAUCCGAUCACGGCGCCCCAGCUGGGCAUCGGAAACCAGCGCCACCGCAGCCUCAGCUUCAGCCACUGACUCUGCCUCCUCAGUCUCAGCAGCCCAAAUCUAGUGGCGUUCUUGAUUUGCCCUCCCCAGAUUCAGUUUCAAGGUAUGCCUAAUUGUUCUCAAUAAUUAGCCUGAUUAAUCAUUUAGAACUUCUGUUUUUAGUAAUCUGCUUGUUUAAAUUGCUCUUAAGUUGUUGUUUGGGGUGAUGAUCAAGUGAUUAAUUGGGGGUUAUAAUUUCAAUUCUGCAGUGACAAUAGUUUAUCAAAUGCCAUGUCUCGCCCAAAACCUGUAAUUUAUCAAGACCCAGUAGUUCAAAUCCCCUCUGCAAACGCCAGGUUUCCAGCAAACCUCGUUGAUCCGAAAUUAAAUCUUUCCGAUCCAACCACUCGGAUUCAGAUGCAACAACAGGUUCACGAUUCUGGGUACGUUUUGCAAUCGCAAUUCGAUCAUCAACAGCAGCAGCUGCAGCAACACCACCAACAACAAGCACAACAACAACACCACCAACAAGAAGCACAACAGCAAUACCACCAACAACAAGCACAACAGCAACACCACCAACAACAAGCACAACAGCAACACCAACAACAACAAGCACAACAGCAACACCAACAACAACAAGCACAGCAGGCACAUCAAUUUAUACACGCUGGAACACAUUACAUCCAGCACCACCCAGGUUCGGUCCCCAUUCCGGCGUACUACCCGGUGUAUCCGCCCCAGCAGCAACAGCAACA